UUAGGGAAACUAUUCGGUAUUCACACAUGCGAGAUUGAUUUAUUUCACUUAUGAGUAUGGUCUCAAGCUGCGCCCAUUUAUUGAUAAAUAUCUCAAUGUGAUCCUUCUUUAUAGCUGAAUAAUACUCCAUUGUAUAGAAAUACAACAACUUUUUUAUCCAUUCCUCAGUUGAUGGACACUUGGGUUGUUUCCAAGAUCUGGCGAUUACAAAUUGUGCUGCUAUAAACAUAGGUGCACAUAUAUCACUGUGGUAUGAUGCUUUCAGUUCUUCUGGAAAUAUGCCUAAAAGUGGAAUAGCUGGAAUAAAUGGGAUUUGCAAUCCCAACUUUUUGAGAAAUCUCCAGACAGGCCUCCACAAAGGCUGUACCAGUCUACACUCCCACCAGCAGUGCAGGAGAGUUCCUUUUUCCCCACAGCCUCUCCAGCAUUUGUUGUUGUUGGUUUUCUUGAUCCUGGCCAUUCUUUCAGGAGUGAGAUGGUAUCUCAGUGUGGUUUUAAUUUGCAUUUCUCUAAUAACCAAUGAUGAUGAACAUUUUUUCAUGUAUUUAUUUGGACCUGGAAAUUCUUGAUAAACUGAAUAUUGUUACCUUCAAGUAGGCAAAACAACUCAAAAAAUAUUUUCCUCCUAUAUUUCAGACAUUCUUACACCAAAUCCAGUAAUUGCAGAUGAAAAGGAAGUCAAGGAAUGGGAAGAAAAAAAUCUAGAUAGAAAAUCAUAGGUUUUUCCUCAUUUUUAAUACCUAACAUGUUCUUUAUACUUCUUAUAACCUAUGGAGAUAAAAUAGACUUUUAAAAUAAAGAUUUUUUUUAAAGAGAAUGUAACAUAACAAAACAUCAGAACAAAAUAAUGUAAGCAACACCGGGUUUCAAAACAAGACAGCAGGAAUUCAACAGUGGCUGCCAUAGUGUCUCUUGUUUUCCAUAAAGGCAUUGUUUUUCUAUAUGGCCGGAUAUCAGCCCAAAGCGAAGUCAUUGUACAUCAUGUAGAACAUCUGGAGAUUUAUGAUCCCUUGCAGGAUGCUAACAGAAAUAUUAUAAUCUUCUCAAAAUUAUAUUUGGCUUUAAGUUCUUUAUAUUAAUAGAUUUUUUAUUUGUCUAUAAAAAUGAUAUCUGUUUAUAGUCUAAUCUGUGAAUGACUUAGAAGUCAUAGGUUAAAAAUCACCAGCACCAGCAUUCAGACAUACUCCCAUUGUAGCUUCUUGUUGAAUUUCCUGCUAUAAUACAUUCUAAGAAUUUGAGUACACCAAUAUUUAAAUUAAUUUCCAUAUUAUAUAAUCACGUUAGAACAUGACCUCCUUUUGUAUAAUUAUCUUCAUGUGGAAAUAUUAAACAUUUUUCCCGCAAAGUUCAUAUUACCAUUUAUUAUAUCAGCCGUAUAUGUUUCUUUUCUGAAAAAAAAAAAAACAUUAGGCUAAGAUGAUUGACUUAGCUAAGCUAGAAAUCUUAAGAGCAAGAUUCUACCUUAAGCUUUGAAGAUGGAAUCUUUGAUAUAUUUAAAUCUUUAAAAAACAAUUAUCCCUGUAAUAAAAUGGAACAAUUAAAUUUACAUCUAGAUUGAUUCAGAGUCUGUGUGUCCUUAUUUAUUUUGAAUAUGUAAUUUUUUAUGUCUUCUUGAAGAAUGAGGUAAAUUCAUUCUGCCCAUUUUCAUUCAAAACUCAAAUGCCACCAGUCUUGAUGCCACCAUAAUGAAAAUCACCAUGUAAUACAAGGUAUCCAGGUCCCAGGACAAUGGUAUAUUUAUUUUGAAUUUUUUAGUAUAACAGUGCCAAAAUAAAUCAAGACCAUGUAUAUUUUUUAAAUCUUUCUUCUAUAUCUUUAAUCUUGAAUAUUGCAUAGAAUUUUAAAAACUCAGUAUUUAUUAAGAAUAGAUUAGAAGAUGAUAAUAUAUUAGAAUUGAAAAUAAAUAUGGUAGUACUGUUUCUCAACGAACUGUUACUUCAUCGUGGACUUAAUCCUGUUAAUGACAUAGUCUUCAAGAAUCAUAAUGAAAAGUAAGAUUACUGUAAGCAAGAAAAUUUCCUAAAAUUUUUGGCAAGCCUUCCAAGUUAGAAGAUUUGUAUUACCCAGCCUGUCUUAUCCUGGAGGUGCUAAUUUAGCAAUCAAAGCAAAUACAUACAGGGAAGGAAGAAUGAGGAACACACUUAAGUAUAUUUACAGGCAGUUCAUUGCUCAGUGUCUAGAAACUGAGUAUCUGAAUAGUGGUUUUAUAAAAUAGCAUAUUUUAAAAACAAGAACUUUCUCAAGUUCUUUUGCUCCCAGAACAAAGCCCGACAUUUUUUACUGUAUUUUUAGUACUCUUGUCUAGGGCAAGCUUUGAUAUAAAUAAAUGAUGCAUUAACAUUAUAUUCAGACAGAAAUGUGUAUGCCAGCAGAAAACUAAAUGGGAAAGAAUUGUAUGUUUACACAAUUCCAAGGUCGGUUCACUAACACUUUACUGAACAUCACCACUCAUAUUUUUUUCUCCUUUUGAUAUACAUUCCUUUUACUGUUAGCAGAUAUCCCUUUAUCAGACAUUCCAUACAUCUGUUAAGAUAAGUUUUUAUAAUUAUUUCAAGUUAUUUCUUUAAAGUUCUAUAAAUGUCUGACAAGCAGUUGCACAAAACGGCUUAGUCAUAUAUAAUUCAUUUGGAACUAAAAAUAAUUAGAAAAUAACCAACAUAGAAACUAUACAACAUUGAAUUUUCAGACAGUGAGUGUUUUGAUUAAUAACACUGUUCUUUAAGAACAUUGCAGUUGUUGCUAAGUAUAUUGUUCAUAUCUUUUGGUGACUGCAGCAUUAGUGAUAGAAAUAUCUAUUGGAAAUUGCUCUGGGAUCAAGUAUUUUGAGUAGAAAUUAAGUUUAUUUGUCCUGUUAAAAAUUACUAAUGAAGAAAGACUUCAUAACUCUUAAGAGUAAUUGCUAUACUUUUUUUGUUUAACUACGUAAUAGGGUAUAAAGUUUAUAGUUUGCAAGGUAAAGAAGUCUUUUUAACUGAAUUCAUUUAACUUCAACUUUUUUUUUGGUUCCGGUAAUAGAACCUAGGACCUCAGACAUUAAAGGUAUGCAUUCUGCCACUGAGUUUUACUUCUGUCCCCAAAAGUUAAUUUUAGUUUUUGCUUCUCUGUAUAGUUAAUACUUUCUUGAAUCAAUCAAUAGCCUAAUCGCAUGACAAGAGCACUGUUACAGCUAUUAGACUGAUCAGAUCCCUUUUCUUAACUUCAUAUAUUGAUCUAAUAUAUUUUUCUCUUUUUACUGUAAUUUUACAUUUUAAAGGGUUGGUUAAAUUUUGGCACUUUAAAAGUUCCACAGUGAUAACAACUAUUAUAAUAGAAGAAAACCUUUACAAAGCAUUGGUUUUAAUUUUAUUUUCAUGCUUUGCCAAUAGCAAGUAUUCCCAAAAUGGUGUCAUUUCCUUCUCUGAACAAAACAUUAAUCUGCACAAGCUAAAAGAAAGCAGUGAAUAGAAUAACUAUCAAUUUAGUAUCCACUUUAAUUCAGCCUAUAAAUUGCUAUCCCUUAUCAAUAAAUAAGAUUUUCUCUUACUAGUUCCCAUCAUAAUUAGGUAAAUGGGAUUUACUCCCUAAAGUCCUCAUUGUAAACCACAGAGUUCUGUUGAUUGGAGAUCAAGAUUCAGUCCUGGUGCUCGUGUUUGAUUCCAUUCUGCAUUUUCAUUAUUUCUUCAGUGACAGAAUUAAAGGCAUACUGAUUAAGUUUGGAGAUUAUGCUAAGCUAACAGGAGCUACCGAAACUUGGAAAGCUGAAACUAGAAUUCAAAAUCACCUUAAUAAAUUAUAUAAAUCACAUUUUAAAAUACAGAACAAAUUCAAGGUUGUAUCCUGAGAGAGAAAGCAAACUAUCCUGUCAGCAAACACUGUGGGCACAGACAUGACAAGAAGAUGACUGUGGGCUCAAGGUGAGUCAGGGGAGUACUGCUCACUCUCACACAAGACUCCAAAGGCUGGUUUUACUUCUUAAAAAUCACGUUUGCUACCUGUGACCAGAACCAGAGAAAAUUAAGACAAGGUACUUCCCAAACAGGCUAUGUUCCCCAAGAAUCCAGCGCAGUGAGGUGGUAAGAACAGAGCAUUUUAAACUCAGCACAACUUUGAACCUCUGUCCUUAGAGAGAGUGGGUGCCAGGUCUUUUUCAGAAUCCUGUAUUCUGGGGUGCAUGAUGACUAAUAGGCACAGAAAGAUAUUACAAGCUCAUUGGCCUUUAGUAAGGCAUGCUACAACACUCAUGUGAUUCUGGGAUUUAGGAAAUUAGGAAAUAAUUUUUUGUUAUGUUUGGCAUUGUAAAACCUUUUAUUAACCUGUUUGACUUUGAGUUUACACAUUUUGAAAGGAAAUAUGAAAAUUGGGAAGGUCUGUAAAAGAACAGCAAAAGUGCUUAUGGGAUAUAGAAUAAGUCAUGUUGUAAAAGAUUAAAGAAGUUUGUUUGCUUAGCCUAUAAAACAGAAAGCUAAGAGAUGACUUAAUAACUGUCUUAUAUGAUAUAGAGCCUUAUCAUAAGAAUGCUAACCAAUUCUCCUUCCCUAUAUAAGAAAUAAUAAAAGAAAAUUAGUUUAAAAUGGCAAGGGAGACCUGCUUUUACAUUGGAAGGAAUUUCUUGACUAUAAAAUAAUAUUAAGCAUUGUUCAAGGGUAGCAAGAGAUUUGUUUAAAAUGAAAUGAACACAUACUUGGUUGGAAAGUUUAAGAGUUGACCUGCUUGAUGGUAGUACUGACCCAGGAAGUCUCUGAAAGAAUUUAACAGUUCUAUCCUUUUUAUAAAAAUAUCACAGUUCUUUUUUCUUUUCUUUCUUCUGCCUAAAAAAUUGAAUUUUCAUUAUUUGUAUUAAGAUUCACUUGAAAUUUUCAAGAGAUUACUUUCUGUUUUUCUGUCUCUAAAUAAUUACACUUUUUGUUUUCUGUCUCCUUUCAUUUAUUUGGCAAGUAUCUACUGAGCACCUGCUCUGCACAAAGCUCAUGACUGUGAGUGAUAGAAAGAACUGGACAUUUGUUUGUUCCACUUUCCCAAACAUUUACUGGCCACUUCCUGUGUAUUAGACACCUAUACUACCAUUCAAAAUUCAGAUUGAUGCACAAAGUUCUAAAAAGCUCACAGUCUAGUGACAGAAUAAUAAGUAAACAGACAUUCAUAGAGACUGUGCCUAGGGUAUGAACAGGCGUCUUGGAAGCAUGUGAGACAUAGAUUAGCUGGAGAAAUAACAUUCUUGCUGAAUUGAGAUGGGUAGAGAAAAGAGCCCAGUGGGCUCUAGAAUGCCAAGAAUCAUGAACUAGUUGUUUCUGCUCAACAAAUGAAAGCUUUAGUAAAUACAAAAAUACUUGCUUCAUUUUAUCAACUAAAAUGCUAAUUCUGUCCUCUAUCCUUUUUUGAUCUUCAAUAUAAUAAAAUCUGAUCAUAGUUCUAAAGUGACCUAAGGAUUUCUAGUUAUCAUCAUGCUCUUCACAAAGUUGUAGCUUAUAGAAAAAUGGGGUUAAUGGUAACCACUCAAAAACUUUAUCAGAGACAUACAAAGUUUUUAAAAGAUGCAUACCUAAUUAGAUGUUUACACAUGUGAAAUGUUUAGGAAAUAUGUAAUACUAAAUACUAGACUACAUAUGUAGGGAUCAAAUGUAGCAUUGUAUCUUUUUUAAAACCUAAAGUAAAAUCAGAUUGUGGUAAAACAGUAGAGGCAGGUUUGUCUAAAAUUUGACAUAAAAAUAGACCCACAAAUACAAAUGAGUAUGGUUCAUAACAAGGCAUAAAACAGGAGGUGAAAUGAGGUAGCUGGUAGAAAUUCGAAAUGUGUGCUUGCAGGUGCUUGUGAAUUUCUUCCUAGUCUGAUGCACCAGGGUACAAUUUUCUGUAUUCACCUAGUGUUUUUGACAAAGAAAUCAGUGUAAGCAAAUGCAGCAUUUGCAUUAUGUUCAAUGGUCUCUAACAUAUCGAAUCUUUUAGAACAAAUUUGUGAUUUCAAAACAAGCAUUACUGCAGAAUUUACUGCACAUUGUUGCAAAUUAAUCUCACAGUUUCUCUCUUUUUUAACUUUAUCUCCUGAUAUUUGUAGCAUACUACAUUUUAUUGGACAUAAAGGAAUUCUUCAUAAAUCUAGUUUUCUACUUAAGUAAUGCUCAUAUAAACAAUUUCCAUUCUCAUAGAGCAGUAUUUUCCACUGAACUUCUCUAACAAUGGAGCAUCUGCAGGAAAUUUGGCAAGACAGGUGAAUGCCAUGCAAGUACAAAUCUUUCACAAUUGGAGCAUUGUGCAGUAAUGCUUUGAAAGAUGCAAUAACAAAGGUAGCAAGGUGAUUUUUUUCACCCUAGAAAGAUAAAUGGCCAGAGUCACCAAUUGUAGAAUGGCAGGUUCUUGGCCAUGGAUCAGUCUCUACCUUCCGGCAAGCAAAGUGAACAGUGCAGGAAGAAAUCCAUGCUGGUUUUUAGUAGGAAACCAGUGGAUCCCAAGAAAUGUUCCUUUCUUUCUGUUCUCUCCUGAUUACUGUGGUCAUGCAUUUUGGCUUAGGGAAAGAGGAAAACUGUGCUAGAGGAGUUUGAUAUUAAAGGUGGAGAAAGUAACCCUUAGGGAGUCGGAUCAAGCAUUGUCCCUGUCUGGGCACCUGUCCUCCUUUUGCACUCCCCCUCCUGAAAAAAAUUUUAAAAGAUUGUUUUGAUAUAUAUAUAUAUAAUGGUAUGGUAGUUGUUUUAAAAUCUGAUUAAAGUAUGUCUGCAACAAAAGCAACUCAGUUAAUUUGUGUUAUCUAAAGCAGGGGAGAAGAGAAUUUUGAUUCUGUGUUUGGUACAGAAAGUUAUCACUGGCAACUUAAGAUGUGUUCUUGAAAUGACCAGGUUGUUGCUUCUGGGCCCUAAAGUCUUCAGCCCAAAUAGAAGGGGGAGUUUCUGUCCAAUAAUCAGACUAGAUCAUGUCUACAUAAAAAAUUGAGAGUUGAAGGAUUAAAUUGCACCAGAUGAUAAAAUUCUUAUGUAGCCUCAAGCAAAUAUUCAACUGACAAAAAUGUUAUUGUAUGUUUUCUCUUGAAAGCCUCAAGAUAUGCUUAGGUUAAUUAGAUUUCCAAGUAUGCAAAUAUGCCCUAGUGAGAUUUUUCUGAAAUGCACCAUUUUAAAUUUAUGUAGCAUGGUAUUAGUGUUCAAAAUAUUGAAUUGUAAGACUUUGCCCCAAUAGCUUACUAACAUGUCAUAUAAAUUCAUAGUUGAUCAAACCCAUUUAUUCCCCACUGUCCACAUUAUGCUGUUCAAUUUGGGUUAGAAAAUUUUAUGGAAAUUAGGUUCCCUAGCAUGCUUUGGGGGAAGAUCAAGGAAUAGUUUAAGUUACAUCAGUUUUUCAAAAAUACCAGUUCACUUGUCUGGUAUCAAGUGUUUCCAACAUGCUCAGUUUAGGGAACAUGAGCUUUCUGAAGCCCUGAGACUGUGGCUCGCCUGAAGGGAAUUAGAGCAUAAACUUUGAUCUUUAGGGGAGAGGUAUUUUAGCAAGGGCAUGUGAAAUGAUUUAAUUUUGUUCACCAAGACGUAUCAAUGAAUAAUUUAAAAUUUCAACUUUUGAAUUUUUGGAAAUAUUUUAAAUGUCGUUUGUUUGGAUGUUCUUAUACAAAUGGCUUCUUACUUAACUGAAAUGUUUAUGCUGUGUCAGUUACAAAAUAAUCAUUUUUCCUGGAAACCUUCCUUAAAUAUGUUAUUUUCUUCAGUGCCUUACUUAUUAAGUAGUAUAUACUAUUGUGUGCUAAACAUAAGCCAGCAAUUUCUGGAUGAUGCAGAUAUAUCAUGCCUACAGGACCCAGUGAGAUGUAUAAAGCUAUUUAUCCAUGCUUUCAGUAAUCCAAGUCACAGAAUCAUAAGACUUUUAUGCUAAGGAGCCAGAUAGUAAAUGUUUUAAGUUUUAUGAGACAUGUGCAUUCUUGCUACAACUCAACUCUGCAUUACAAUGGGAAAGUAGCCGUAGAUAAGAUAUAAGUGAAUAAGCAUGGCCCAUCUCUGUUUCAAUAUAAUUAGCACAGCAAAAAUGGAAUUUGGCCUCCAAGCUGUGAUUGGACAACCUUUGGACUUUGCCAUCGUCUUUCUAGAGUUAUUUAUGAAAGAAGCUCAUCAAGGUCAUGGUAUCUUGGUGUUCUUAUGUUCUUCAUUCUAGUAAUAUUUCACUCUUUGUAUUUACUGCUUUUGAUGUGCUUAGAACUUCGAGGAAGAAACUAGUUUAUAAGAAUUGUAUCUAAAAUAAGAGUCACUAGACUCCAAGUUAAGAGCAUAAUUCUGUCUCUUAAAGUACAUAGUACGUUUACUAUAAUGCUCCUUCUCAAUAUAUGCUCACAGGCCACUUUUAUUUAUUGUUGGGUUUGUUGAUACAUACAGUAAGUUUUGUGUUAAAAGAAUUUUGUCAUGAGUCAAUGAGUUUUUAUGUUUCAUAACAUACACUAAAAAGCAAGAACAAAUUUUUCAACUACUUUUUCAUAGGCAUAGUUUAGUGUCUCUUGUCUAGUGUUUUCCAUUUUUAUGAAUAGUUUAUUAAGAGUAACAAAUAUUUGUACUCAGAAAGAAGAGAUUACAUUGCCUUUUUAGAUGAGAAAAGAUGUCCCUGCCCUCAGUAUGAGGGCAUAGUACUAUCAUAUUUUGUGCUUAUUCCUGGGUUUACUUUGUGUAUAUAAUAAGUAAACUUUGUUUUGAGGUUUUGGGAAUUCCUAAAUCUACACAAAUAGCUGCUGAGAACAUUGGAUCUGGGUUCAAGUUUUGGCUGUAUCACUUAUGGCUGUGUGAUGUUAAGCAAGUGUCAUAAAUUUGUGAGCUGCAGCUCUUUUACGUAUUCCAUAGACUUCUACCUAAAAGCAUUGUUGCUCUAUUUCUUUGAUGCCAUUCUUCUCAUUAUUUCACCUCUUUUCCUGUAGUGGCACUCAAGUCACUUACCAGUUUAAAAUUUAAUAUAUAAUCAAAACAUUAUAUUUAUACUUUAAAUAUGUUCAGGUUUUUUGUUAGCUGUCUCAAUAAAAUUUGAAAGUCUGUAUCUCAAAAAAUAAAACAACAUACUGUUUAAGUUUUACUACCCUGUUGAAUACCUUUCACUUUUCAGUUUUUCAUUGAAGUACUUAAUACCUGAGAUAGAGAAAAUAAUUUGUUCACUUUAGAAUAAGUGAUCACAGGUAUACAUGGAAUACAGGAAACUAGAGUUUAUAAGAUAGAAAGCUAUAUCCAAUUACAAUGGUAAUUUUUGCUAUAAUAUUUUUAGAUAUCUAAGACAUUAUUUACACUUAAUUCAGUUUGCAUAUUAGUUAAGAUAUUAAAACUGUACUAAAAAUUUCCUAAAAUACAGUCUGCCAGCUUUAGGAAAAAGAACUACAAGCUUAGCUGUCUGCAUUGGUCAGCAAGUUCUUCCAUGCCUCAAAAUUCAAGAAGUGCUUGAGAUUUAUUUGUAUUUUUCAAUUAAUUACAGUCUCCACAAGAAUUUAAGAUCUAGCUGACUAAUCAGCAGCUGCCCAGCAGUUAGUGUUCUAAUAUUUACAGACACACCAUCCUCAUUGUCUUUAGUAUACACAAUUUAAAUCUGUACCAAAAAUAAGGGGAGAGUGCAAUAUUGAUAUGACUAAUAUAGUUGAUAGACAAUGUCCUGGCAAAAUUAUUAGACGAAUUGUGUCUUAAUCUCAUCAUGUUACUAAAUCACAUUGGUACCCAUUCGAGGUAAAAAGUUGUUCCAUCCAAAACAACAAAUGGAUUUUGAUUUUACAUUGACAAAAUGAAGAUACUUUUUUCAGCGUUUUCUCAUAAAUCAUCCUUUACAACAAAAAAAGAAAUGUAAAACUGAAGUUUAGUUGUGAUUAUAGUACAUCCCUGUAGAACCAAAACCCAUCUGCGAAGCUAGAAAGCACAUAAAGAAUAAUCAUCUGAGGUGAUGAAAGAGUUUUAGAAAUUAUGACCAAGUUUGUACAACAUUGUGAAUAUGAUUGAUGCCACUUAAUUAUGCAUUUAAAUAGUUGACAUGAUAAAUUUGGUUAUACAUAUUUCUCUACCAAGAUGUUUUUUAAGAGAUUAGGGCAACUUAGUAGAAAGAAGUGAAGUCAAAUAAAAAUGCUUUAAGGUUAUAAGUAUCAAAGAACAACUAGCCAAUUUGCCUUCCAGAAAGAUCCAAGACACUGGAGGCCAAGUAGUAACAAACAAUAAAGGUAAUCAUGACAAAGAUUACUUGAAAGUAUAUACAGAUUGCAUCUAGACUUCCCAAUCUCCUUUGCCUCCAAACCCUUACUAGCCAAAAUCACCUAACUUCACCAUUUCCUUCAGGAAAGAGACAAUGCUCAUGGAAAGUUAAUCAGCGUCUCAAGACUCAGAGCCUGCAGGAAGAGGGGCAUACUGAGCACAAGAAUAAAAGUCUGAUCCUAAGUUUAAAACUCCAGCCCUUCCCCUAAUGAGUUUCAAAACAUAGUUGGGCAUACUCCUGAGCCUUUCUGGCAUUCCAUCAGGGGAGUCUUAAGGUGAUUUAAAAAUAGGGAAGUGAAGAGCCAAAGCGGUGACCAAAGAAUUGAAAGUAAUUUUCUCUGGAGAGAAGGAAAGGAGGGAAUGGGACAGAUAUACUAAAACUUUUAGUAGACUUUUUUAUUAUUUAACUUUGUUAUAUGCAUAUAAUACUUUGGUUUUAAAAUGAUUAAAAUAAAUCUAAAAGAUAUAAAAUACAGAUCUCAUCCUGUAUUUUGUUUUAGUCAUAUUUAAUCAUAUUAUUCUUUGUAGAAAAUAGUUUCUAAACUCGAUUUUCACCCCAAGAGGAAAAUUAUUCACCAAAAUAACUAUUGCUAAAGAGUGCUAAUUGAUGUCAUCAUAUUUCAUGUGUAAUGUAUGUUCAUAUUUAGAUACGUAUCUCUCCUCUAAUAAUUGUAGGUGGUAUACUAGUCUACAUCUACUAAAAGACACUAUGUUGGUCCUCAUUCAGAAUGUUUGACAGUGUAAGUUGGACUGGGUCUAGUUUCAUUAAUGAUUUUUUUUCUGUGAAGGAAGCUUUUAUCAAAUAAUGGAAUGGGGUGUGUUUAAAGGAUAUUUGAGGAGGAAAUUUCCCACCUAACAUCCAGGGGCUUGGCAUUUGCAUGGGAACUGCUGGUAAUUUCAAAGGAUCUGAUCUGUACCUCAGAGAACAGCUAAGAUUUUGUAUUUGCAGCAUCUUAUUUCCAUAUAAAAAUAUCUCAUUGGCCUAUAUUUUAAUGAAUCUAAACAUGAGUUGAUUUAACAAAUAUAGUUAAAAUAAGUACUUUUCAGCAGACUUCUACUGUUUUGUGUACUCUUUUAUGUUUGCUCCCAUGAAAAGACCAUUUUCAUCUUUUGUUUUUAUUUUCCAAAUAUGCAAGGGUCACUAAACCCUUUUAGAAGUUGCUUUUGAAUAGUCAUCCUUUGUGUAGAAAAUCUACAGUAUAUUCCUUAAAUGAAAUUCAGUCAACUACUUAAAAGACAUCAAUGAAAGUACUCGUACAAGCUCUUAAGAUCAAGGCAUUUAUUUCAGCUGACUUUAGUAUGUACUUAUCCAUUAUGCACCAAAUGAUGAGCAAAAUAGCCAGACUUUUAAUAAGCAAGUACAAUAUAGACAAAAGAGAACACUGAUUUAAGGUCCUUGUGUCAAAUGUGGUAAAACAUUCUGUUUAUAGCAGGUCAGGCUUGGGUUUACAAUUAGCACUAAUUACUGAGGAAAAUAUCAAAACCACAGCUUUAAGGAAGGACACUUUUCACUAUAAGAUCAAAGCAGUCUCUGUAGAAUAGGGAAGCCUCUACCACUUAAUUGCACUGAAGUGCUAAUUGGAUUGUAAGGUACUUUCAUGAGUUCUUCCAAUUAGCCAGCCAUCCCUGACAAAAUCCAAAAAGAAGAGAUUAUGAGUUCUUUGUGUUUUUAUCUAUAUAGUUGUGAUUUGUAUACAUGAGUGAAUGUAGCUUUCCCUUAUUUUUGUAUAAAUUGACAUUAGCUUUCUGUAAUCUUGAAGGUAAAGCUAUCUAUUCUAUAUAAAGUCCUAAGUAUGUAUUAAUGAUAAUGGGAAGACAUUUAAUAUGAACACUCAAUUUUUAGAUUCUUAAAAUGUGAGAGUUGGGUGGGUGCAGAUUCUUGGUAGUGUUGUCAUUUUAUGUAGUUAGGAUCCAGUUAGGAUGUUUAUAUUGCAUUUUAUAACUUAAAUUUGGGCAAUUUUCAAAAAAAAAUCAGUAAUUUCAUGUUGUUCUCUAAGAAUAAUUCAUGGCUCUAAUUGAGUUUUGCUCAUAUACUGUAUCACGUGAAAUAUUUAUUGUUGUUUGAUUAUAUAAAAUGGCAACAAUUGUGCUGACUUACCACAUGAAAGCUUAUAUAAUAGUCAUAUCUGGUGGUAAAAAUAUCCGUUUGCAUAAGGCAAAUGAGAAGUUUUUCAUGAAUGCCAUGCCAUCCCUAUACAAAGUAAAAUAAAAUGUUAACAACUGUGCUGUGAAUUCACCUGUCUAUAUUAGAUUGAAACCAUUAUAAAUUUUAAAAAUCUCUUACUGACAUAAAACUAUUUUAGAACUUUAUUUGUAUUCUUCAAAUUUUACUUGGAUUUUUGCCCAAGUAAUAAGUGUUCUAGGUCUCAUCUGUACUGGUGAAACAAGACAAACAAUUUUUCCAGGAUUUAAAUGUUCUGAUGAUUAAGUUUAAUUAGAAAAGAAUCUACUUUCCACAAUUUACCUUCAGUUUCAUAAAACCUGUGCAGUGGUAUAGCACAUGUGCCACAGCAAACUAUUAUCAUUGAAAACUCUUAAAAGGUUCACCAUCCCUGGCUCACAGUGAGAUUUCAGAUAACAAAGUCAUUCAUUUGUGUAUUCAAAAGUUGAAUAUGACCCAAAUAUGAUAGAGAAUUAACAUGAUUCUCUAUGCUUCCAGAAUUGUGUGCUCUGUGCUUAGUUGUAUCUUACAGUAAAUGCAGGUAUUAUAACAAUAAUGGUACCAACUCAUAUGCAGUUUUUACUAUUAGGCAUUUUAUAUACUUUACAUUACUCUUACAUUAACCCAUGGGAAAAAAACAGUAAUAUCUUCAUUUCUCAGUAAGAAAACCAAAGCUUAGAAAGUUUCACUAGCACAGCUGUUAAAAGUAAUACAACUGGGCUGGGGAUUUAGCUCAGCGGCAUAAGCACCCUGCCUUGCAAGCAGGCGGUCGUGAGUUCAAUCCCCGGUACCGAUAAAAAGGAAAAAGACAAAAAAAAAAAAAAAAAAAAAAAAAGUAAUACAACUGCAAGAACCAGCAUUAAACCCAUUUUUUCUGACUUCAGAGCUUUUGCUCUCACUUCAUUAAAAUUAGUGGUAAAUUAGAUCCCCUUACAUUUAGUCUUAGCAACUGCUGUGUGCUUCUUUUAUAGAAUCAAUAUGUACAAAUAUAUGUGAAUACUACAUAUAUAUUUUGUGUGUGUGUGUGUGUGUGUAUAUAUAUAUAUAUAUGUCUGUACUAUGCACACAUCUAGUUUUUGGCUAACUUGUUUCCAAAUUUUGGGAGCAAGACACUAUAUGUGCUGUUCAUCUCUGCCUAAUAAUUAUAUCUGGUCCAUGGUAGGAUCACAAUGAGUGAAAGAGUAUGCCGGUACCAGAGCCAAAAAGAAUCCUAACUCCCAGGUUACUCCUUUAAAUGUUCUGGUAAAAUUCUGGUAUUUACUAUAGCAGAAGAUCAUGACUCUAAAAUAUUGGAAAUAAUAAGAAAAAUCUUAUUCUUUAUUUGAUGAUAUUGGUUUUCUAUAUAUUUUGUCUUGUUUUUUCCCCUUCACUUUCCUUCCCUUCCCUUCACUCCCCUCCUUUUUUUUUUUGUUUUCUUUUUCUCUUCUUUUCUUCUUCUCACCAUGAAUAUAUACCUUUCAGUUUAAAAUGAAAACCUUACCUAAAAGAGGAUAGGUUUUGUACCAUGAAAUUACUCAGUUUCUGUUUAAUUAAAUGUGGAUGACUGUACGAUUUAAAUAAUUUUUCUCUGUAAAUUUUAUACUUUUGCUAAAUUUGGGUCUAACUAGGACUUUCAUUAUAGACCUUGAAUUAACUGUAAUCAUUAAAAGAAAUUCAUCAAACUUAAUAAAUUCAUCGUGAUUCACUUCUUCGUUUAAAUUUAUCAAGAAAUAAUUAGCCUGUGGAUAGGAGUUAAGUGAAGUAAAUCAGACACAUAAGCUUAAAUAUCUCAUGGUUUCUCUUAAAUUAAAAACUCAAUAUAUAAGUGAAAGAUAAUAGAAAAAGGAAAAAGUCAUUGUUAUUCAGCAUGGACAAUGUAUCUAAAAGUGAACCUUGAUUUAGUAUUAUUGUCUUGUGUGUUUUACAUGCUUUUUGGCCUAUUAGUCUGAUUGUUAAUCUCUGUAUGUUUAUAAGUGUAUACAUAUAUUUGUUUUGUUUUGUUUUUGUACCGGGGAUUGAACUUACGACCUUGUGGUUUCUAUGUAGGCGCUUAUGCCACAGAGCUAAAUCUUUGGCAUAUAAUUAACUUUAUAAUAACAUAAAACAAUGAAUAUGAUCAUGACAAAACAAAGGGGGAAGUGGAGAAGCAAGGAGAAAAUAAGAAUUGAAAUGUGUUUUUGUAUAGGUACCAAUUCCCUGCAUUGAGUGUAAGCAUUAUGUAUUGCAGACAUAAAGUAAUAAAAAUUAAAAAGAGAAAACAAAGCAUUUACCAUAGUACUUUAUUCCUGAGAAAGAAUAGAUAUAUUUUUAAAUGCAUUUAGUAGCGUAAGAAAUAACAUCAAAAUUCCAAUUGUAAUUUAGCGUAAUAACAGUAUAUUCUAUGUAAAGAUCUUAUACAAUUUGCAUGUAAUGGUAUUUCUUAUCCUACUAGUAUGUAUUCUUUUAUUUAAAAUAGGAAUAACUCACCUGUAAACUCAGCCACUCCAGAGAGUGAGAUGAGAUAGUCACAGGUUUGGUCCAUUCUCGGAAGUUACCAAGAACUUAACUUUAAAAAAUAAAUACAAGGGCAGAAAGUAAAUAGAUACAUAUGUAAAUAAAUGGGAAUAGCACCAAUAUGAAAAUCAUGUAUUGUAUGACUGACCUGAAAAAAUAUAUGACCAACAAUUGGUAGCAAUUUGUAUAGCAAGAUAUUAGUAGACUCAGUAAUAGAAUGGGAUGCCAUAUGUCACUAUUACUGUUUUACUCUACAUAAAGUGGUGUACUGUAAAUCAUAACCUUAGGUGGUUUUAUAUUUUCUAUGGUUGUUUAUUUUGCCAAAAUAUAUGUAAUGUUACCUUUUAAUCAAUUUCAAGUGUAUGAUUCCAUGUCAUUAAGGACAUUUACAGUGUUAUACAAUAGUCACCACAUGUUUACAACUCUAAAUUAUGUAUUUUCUUUUUAAUUUCAAAAUGAUUAUUGUCUUCAAAGAAUUAGAGAACAAUAGAUGUAACAGAUCUAUAGUGAAUACAACAUUAUUGUUGCAUUUAUUAUUCCAAAGACAUUUCAGUCUCUUAUGAGUCACGUUUGCUAUAAAAGAUUAAUAAAUCAAUCACUAUUUAUCAUUAUAACAGUAUUGAUCUUUUUCCCCUCCAAACCCUCAAAGCCCAUUUUCUAUCCUUUGUGUUCUCUCACCAAUCUCCAUAUACAUUAUCUCCUGAUCAUUUGAAAUAAAAUUUAGCUGAGAAAACUGUACAGCUGUGAAAUACCUUUUCUUACAGCCAAAUGCAAGGAUUUUCAAAACAGGUAUCUUUUAAAAGAUAAAAAAUUUUCAAGAAAAUGUUUCAUUAUCAGUUCUAUUUUAUCUUCAUCGUGCUGGUUUUUAACUCGUUUUGUUUUAAUCUUGAGUGUGAAUCAUGUGAUUUCUUCUCCUGUUCUUGUCCUACUCCAUAGCCCCAUUACUUUGGUUAGUGGGAAGUUGACUGCACUUGAUGUUCCCAAGUCUGUGCCUCUUGCAUAUAUUGUUUUUUUUGUUUUUUUGUUUUUUUUUUUUGUCUUAAGUGUCCUUACCCAACUUGGAUCUCUAACUAGAAUGGCUUUUAUCACUGUACUCAGCAAACCUCAUCUUGUGGCAUAAGCUUUUCUGGCACCACACCUACCUGUAUCGCCCAUAUGCUCCAGAAGCACCUGUGCAUACCUUCUCCUAACCUGAAUCACACUCUGCUUCAAAUAUAUAUUUAAUUGUUCUUUUUUCCUUUUUGAUUUGGAGCACAUUGAGUUUUGGAAUGUGAUUUUAAAAUAUGUAUAUAUUUUAAAAUAUACAAAUAUUUUGUAUAUUUGUAUACAAAUAUACAAAUGGAGGAAAUAUACAAGUGGAGGAAACAGCCCCAUAAAUAGUUACUGAAUGGAUGUUACAGAGUUAACAUUUUCACAUUUUUCUAGUUGUAGAUUAUCCUGUCAAAUUCAGGUAAUGCUGUACAGAUUGUUUAAUUUGCAGGAUUAUACUUAAGAAGAAAGUAGGUGAAAUAAGUAAUGUUACAUAGAGAGACUCACUGAUGGCAAGUUGUAUCCCAGAGCCAUGUAAAUGAGUAAGCUGUGCCCCACAUGUAAAGCACAGAGCAUAGACCUGUGAAAAAAGUUGAAAAGAAAUUGAGACCAAUCAAGAACUAGAGAAUUCUCCAGAUUUGCUUUCUGUGCUUAUCAUUCUCAUUCUUAAAUAUCAGUUUCCAAAACAAAAUAAGAGCCCAGAAAUGUGUGUGUGAAAUGGAAAGUAGGAUAAACAGAUUAAUUAUAAUCAUUGAGAACAUAUCUGUUGAAACAUUCACCACAAGUAAGUGUGCAGUUUAUUAUAAAGUGCUAAAUAAACCUCCCAGAGCUUUUCUUAUCUUUCUGAGAUUAUGUUAGUUCCACAGAUGAGAAAAUAAUGUAUAAAGGAUUCAGAAACUCAGAAGCCAUUUCUAACCACAACUUCAGCUCACUCCUGUAAGUUCUAUUCUGCUUCAAUGCAGAACAGGUUGCAAGGGACCUGGGAACUGCAGUGAUUUUAGUGCCUAAUGCCAGGCUCAGUCCCUAUGUUAUAAGAUCUGUUAUAAAACUUUAUAUUUUGGGGUUAUGAACUUUUUUACAUAAUAAAAGCCAGUCCUAUUAAAAUACAAGAUGAGUGGUUAACAUGCUUUUCACAGACAGCCACUGAAAUGUAUGAAGCAAAUAAACUAGUGAAUUUGAUGAGUUAGUGAAAGAGGGGGUGAGAUUGAUUAGAACCAGGUGAAAGCAGGUGAGGCAGUCACAAAAUGUAUACAGAAAUUAAACUCAUCUCAGCAAUAGUGUGUGCGUGUGCACAUGCAUGUGUGCAGCACUUGUGUAAUUAUGCAGUAGCACUAUAUGUUAAUUAAUGACUAUCUCUUAAAACAUGUUGUUUUCUGUGAAACUAAAUUGAAAAUACUUAAGAUACUUCUAAAUCAUUUUUAAUAUCCCUUUCUAUUCUUUACACAAGUUGAUCUUUUUAGUUUGCUGUACUCAAUGUCCUGUAAUUUCUAAAUUUCAGUUGUCAGCAUCCCUAAAAUUAAAAACAAGCCCUGAAUGCAGAAUGCUUCCAUCAAUGAGGAGAACAAUUCCAUGGCCCAAACACUUACCAAAAUUAUCAUGGCAUAUUUUGUGUGUAAGAGAUACCCCUUUGAUGUAAGUGCCAAGGCCGUUACCAUGGAAACCACAUGAUUCAAGUCACUUCCUAAUUCUAAAGCACCUAAUGUUCACAUCUACACUAAUUUCCCCAGAAGCUUGACCAUACUUGACAUUUUAAAUUAUAAUAUGGCAGAAUUUAUUUUAAGAAAAUGAAUGAUCUAUCAUUCAUAAGUUAGAGAUGCAAAAUUUUGAAAUAUGUGGAGUAACCCAUAUAAAACUUAGAAUAUGAAGCAAUGUUUUAUUCAUUUAAAAAUUUUUUUAGUAUUAUGACAGUACAAUUCUCUAAUUUAAAGUGCUUUUCUUUUAACUGAGAUAUCUAAGAUAAAAGUUAGAAUGAGUCACAGUGUAUUAUCUGGGAGUCAUAGUAUCUUGAAAACGCAGGGGCUGGAAGAAGAAAAAGUUAUUUAGGGGCAUGUCAAAAGCAUCUGUGUAAGUAUAGAUUUUAUAGAUUUUAAAACCCUUAACCAUUCCAUAGUAGCUCAUAAAAGCAUCUGUAGGUCAAAUAGCUAAGUCAUUUAUGUUAUAAGCUCUUUUUAAAGACAAAUUAACUUCUAAUUGGCAUAACUGUAUAGGGAAAGAUGAUUUAGGUGUUGUUUUCAUGACAAAUAAAAUAGGAAAGACUAUUCUAAAAAGUUGAUUCUCAGUCUCAUAGCUGGCUACUGAGUAGUUCACUCUGAGGUCCGUAUAGUGCAUUUUUAGUUCUAAGAGUAAAGAUUUUAUGUGAGUCCAUAGGAAUCAUAAAGAUAAAUAAAGGGAAACCUUGAUGGCUGUGAAGGUAGAGAAGAUGUUUACAGUUUAAAAAAAUAAUGGAGCAGUUCCAUCUCUGUCUAAUAAGAACAACUGAUAAGCCUUUUUGCCUUUUAUUUCUAGUCAUGAUUCACUCGUUUUAGUUUUCCUUAUCUCUCUGUACCAUAAUUGACUCAGUUGUAAGGGAGAGGAUUAUGCUAUUUGUAUAACAUGAUCAUUGAAUUAUUUCAGUGGACAUUUUCUGUACUAUAUCAACAAUUAAAAUGUUAUUACAUGGGUACAGGGCUAUACCUUCUGAACAGGAUGCUUGAGUCACAUGAUACUUAAAGCUAUAUUCCACAUGUAAAUGUCUACCACACUACAGGAUUCACUGAUCAUCUUAAAACUGGGAAAAUGGGAAGUAGAGAAUUUUUGUUUCCUUCUCAAUUCUACUGACUCACUAGGAAGUUUCUGUCAAAAUGGUAUUUUAAAUAUAUGCAUACUCUGUUCUUUACAGCCAAAAUAAAGUAGAAAAUACUUUCGUUUUAUACAAACACACAUGCAUAUGAAUAUAUAAAAUCAUGUAUCACCAGUGAGUUAAAAUUUGUAUGAGGCUGUGAAAAAUAAUGUGCAACUGUUUCAGCACUGAUACCGGUUUUCAGUCUAGUACUUUUUAAAAAUUGUGUACUUCUAACUGUAUAUUCUAAAUAAUAAUUAAGGAUUCUGUCUGAAUAUUUUUUUGUAAUCUGGCCUGAAGCCAUGUUUUUCUAACCAAUGAAAAAAAUCUUAAUCAUGUUUUCCUGUUACUCUAUUCCAGUGUUAGAACUGUUUAUUAGCAUGUUACUUCCUGAUUACAUUAAUUGGCUGAAUACAGAGAACAAUCUGUGGAACCAGAUGUUGUUUACUCCCACUCUUCCUGGGCCUCUGUCCCCAUUAUCCUCACCUGGAUUACUUAUAAAGCCAAGGCUCUUUGUCCCCUUCACUGUACACUUGUGGCAUAAGAAAUCAUAGUCAGUGACAUGGAAAAAUUAAGAAAAAAACAAGGAAAAAGGGAAUAAUCAAGAAGUGACUAGAUUGAGCAAGGCAAUGAAACCAUGUAAAUUUAAAAUUCAAGAAAUUUAUCUCAUAGUCCUCAAAAUGGCAAAUUUUGACCUAAUUUUAGUUUUGAAAUAUAUGCAAAUUAGCUUGCCACUUUCUCAGAACUAUCAAUUUUGAAUUGAUCACUGAAAAUCCAUUGAGACGAACUAUUUUCAGUGCUUUUUCUUACUUUUUUUCCCUAAACUGUCUGGCUAAGCUCUUGCCUACCCCUACAAAAUUAAUUUUGUGAGAUAUUAAUAAAAAAUUCUGAGGUUUCAAAUCACUUGGUAUAGGGAGUUAGGAGCACACCACUCCAAACAGGACAAUUGCUUCCAUUGGUUGCUGAUUUGAGAUAUAUUGUAUGGACCUCAGCUGCAGAACAAAUUAAUUGUCACUGUGGGGAGUGAAGUAAUUAUCCUAUCUUUCAAGGACUCCACUGUGUCACAUUUAAUAUAAAUUUUGUUUAAAACUCUAAUGUACCUUUAUGAAGUCUUAAAAAUCCUUAUUUUCAGAAGCCAGAUCUCAGCGUGAGUAAGUUGUCCAAAGACAAGUGGACAAAGAUAAUAGCUAAAGCUAAAAGUUGGUGCCUUUAGUUUAUCUAAACUCCGAUCACUAUAUGUAUAUCUUUGGAAAGAAAGGUAGAUGUUACCAGGACCAAGAAGCAAGGGAAGUGGCCAGUGAAGUCCCUCCACAACUACAGUUCUGAAAUUAGGUUUUACAAAGAAUCCCCUAGGGAGCAUGGUAAUAUUGCUUGUUCUUUGUGAUACCCACACAGAUUUCAAGAGCCUGAAUUUUUAACAGAUAUCCCAGAUAAUUCUGUUGUGGAUUGCAACUUGGGGAAUCAUUUUCUAAAGAUAUUAAUAAUAAAAUUCUAUCUAUCCUUCCACCAGUGCAUUCAUUUAGGUGUAUAUCUUAGUUUCUGAUUUUUUUUUCCUUGAAGGAGAAAAAGUUGACUGCUUUCACCAUAUGAUGGUUGUGGGGUUUUUUUAUGAUGGUUGUUUUUUAUAGCUUUAAUUCCUCCAUUGUCUCUACUUUUCUCUCUACUUUCUUCCUCCCAAGAGAACUGAAGAGUUGAUUAUGCUUUCUUCAGAUUAAUUCAAAAGGUGUUUUAUAUUUGUAGAGUAGCUAUUUUAUGAGAUGUUGUUUUCUUUUUGAUAAGACCAACAUUUAAGAUGGAUAUAUAUUGUUUUGAGGAACUUUUCUUCUGACACUUUUAGUCAUAUACAUUGACAUUAAUUAGGAGGCACAGCUUAUUUAAGAAGUAUGGCCUGUACUGAAAUCAGACAUAAAAGUAGGUGUCCUUGAGAGUGCAUGUCUCCAAAAUAAUAAUAAAUUGGGAGAAAAUACGGAUAGCAACAAUUUUUUGUCAUGAGACAAAUUUUUAAUUUACGAAAUUACAUUUUCCAUAAGCUGAUACAUUUUUCAUGGUAAAGGGUUAUUGGUGACACUUACUAAAGUGCUGCAACAUUUUGCUAAUUUAAAAAAGGUCUGCUUUAGAUCGAUUGUGACCUUAUCAAUAGGAUGAUCUCAUUCAUCUCCUUUGGAACCUCUUGUCACAGUGAGCAGCAAUAUCUCUGAGCUGCAUCUCCUGUGAUUACAAAAUUAACAUUAAAGAGGGUUUCAGAAUCAGUGUGGAGCAGAAUGAAACAUUUUGUGAUCUUUCUUAGUUAUUAGUUUUUAAAAUGUGAAACAUCUUUGUAGUCAUUCCUACUUUAAAAAAAAAACUUUAAAAAUACGAACUCAUAGUUCUGAUUAUUAUCCACUCUUAUUUUUUCCUAAAGACGAAAAGCAUUUUAGACAAGACGGAAAAUUAUUUUGUAACAUGUUUAGAAUCUGUGAUUCUUUUGCCCAGUACUUUUCCUACUUAGAGCAUUAAUUUUACUCAUACAUACAUUAUUCUUUGUGUUCUGUACAGUUUUCAAAUGUCAGGAAGUAUAACAAAAGAUGAAAUCUGUUAGUUUUCUAGCAUUUUUUCCUAAGAAACUGUUUCUAAUUAAAAAUAGUUUUUUAUAUCUUGAAAUUACUUACAAAAGGAGAUUCAGUGUUCAAAAUGCAUUCUGAAUUCCAUACCUACACCUUUUUAAGGUGUGUCAGUAAUGAAUGAACGUGAAUUUCUUCUGUGGCUUUGGGAGUAUAGCUCUGACUUUAAAGUUGUAUCUGUUUCAGAGCAAAGAUUGUACUUUCUAUUGUUCUUGAGCCUAAUUUUAUAGCUAAUAAUAAUAAUAAGUUCAUUUUCCUAUAAUUAACCUUCUUCCCCUUCUCUUCUGCUCUUCAUGUUUAUUAAUUUUGUCCAAACCAUUUCAGCUUCCUAAUAGUAGUAUUACUUUAAUUUUCCUUCAUUUCUAGUCAUCUGUAAUCAAAACCAUUUUUUCUCCAUCUGCUAUUUCAUUCAUCUCUCCUUUUAAAUCUGCUUCUUCUCCUAUAGACUCAUGAAUGUGCCAUAAUAUGUCAACUUCUUUGACUAAUUAGAGAGAGAAAAAGAAUUCUCUACUUUGGAGAUUGUCAUUCUCCCUGCAUACCAGCCUAAACAAUUAAAAUCAGCUGUCUUUGCCAACUAAUAAUUGUUCAGAUUGAAUGUAGGACAUUGAAAUACAAAUUUUUAAGACCUCUAUAUUCUGUAACCAUGUUCUAUCCAUCAAUCUACAUUGCAUGAUUCAGCCUAAUUUCUAAACUGAUAUUUCCUAAUGAGACAGUACUCGCUCCUUAAAGCCAUAGCUAUUUUAAAUUACUUGCACAUGAUUCAACCGUGUCAGAAAAAGUAGUUAUUUAAAUUACCUGUUUUGGUGAUAUAUUUUAUAUUUAUUUUUUACCCAUAUCCAUCUUAUUUUCUGCGUAAUUACUACUUAUCUUUUCAUUUAGGGCUAAUAUGAGAACUAAAAUGCUCUUCUAAGAGAAAUAUUUGUUCAUAACUCAGUGAAUUUCUUUGUUUUUAAUACUCAAAAGUAAAAAAAAAAAAUAAGAGCAUUUUAUUCGUGUUUUAGAAACUGUCAGCUAGUAGCAGCAAGUUACAAAGAAGCAUGAUAGACCAUAAUGAGAAUUUAUUGAAUACCUACAUAUACACUUCUAUAUGUAUAUAAGUCUUAUGAGAAGUAUAAAGCACUUCAGAAUAUGAUCAUUGGUGACACAGUAAGAUAUGUGAUUAAGUAUUAAGAUAAUCCUAGAGCACUCAGUCAGUGUGCUAAGAAUUUAGAUGAAAGAGAAAUCAAUAUAAAUUAUUUUGGAGAAUUUCACUGAAGGGCUGGUAUUUGCAUUUGUCUUUGAAAAAUGGAGAUAACCUCAGUGUAUUAUCCUUUCCAACGUCUUAUUGAUUACAUUUAGACCAUAAAACAAAUUUCAGACAUGAUUUUAAGAUUUCAGAGAAGGGUAACCUGGAGAGAUACUCAUACUGGAGCUAACUGGAAACAAAAAGUAAAGAAUUUGAAGAAUCUGGUUUGGGAUGUUGUAGUCAUGAUUUCUACUAAAAAACCACAUGAGACCCUAGGGCUAGAAAUGCAAACAAUUAUAUAAAAGAAAACAAACAGCCAGGCGUGGUGACACACACCUGUAAUCCCAGCACUCAGGAGGCUGAGGCAGGAAGAUUAUUGCAAGUUCAAGACCACCCUGGGCUACAAGUGAGCUUAUGGCCAGCCUGCUAGACCAACUGUUUUGGGGUAGGGAGGGAGGCAGGGUGGCAGCAAGGUAGGGAGGGAGAGACAGAGAGAGAGAGAGAGAGAGAGAGAGAGAGAGAGAAAGAGGGAGAGAGAGAGAAGUGUUUUAGAGACUCGUGAAUAAAAUAGUCAAGGAACUUGAUAGCCUUUAAAUUCCAUUUUCAAAAGUAUAAAAUAAAAAUCCUAAAAUUCCUUAACAUUGCAUAAAGAAACAUCUCAGAGUUUUCCAUGCACAAACAAUUGUUGAACCCAUGAAAGAACAUCAAGGACAGAAUUAGCCAGCAUGAUGUGACAGUUUAUGUCUCUGACAUCCUGUCCACUGUAGUGUCUAUCUACAUUGGAGCAGGAUUUCUCAGAAUGGAGCAAUCACAAAUCCCUAUAUAUAUGAAUUUUAUCUGGUUGUUUACAUUAAUGUGUCAGGAAAUUAAUUUUUGACUAUUCUAAGAAAAGCUGAACUUCUUUAGGCCAAAUCAUAUUCACAUACCAUAAUGUGUGAAUAUUUUAAUAUACUAUUUGUGCUAUUUAAGUAGUUUAAAUAAUCUUGCUACCAUCUCUGAUUAUCUAUUGUAAGUCUACAUUUUGGAAACCUUCUUUAGUUAUCUUAAUUUUCUGGUGAUAUAUUAAAAUAGCACAGUCACCCUUGUCAGCCCAAAGAGAUCCUAAAACUUCUAAUAAUACUUUUUAACCCUUUAAAAAGAAAUGAUUAAGCUGUGUGUGGUGGCACAUGCCUGAAAUCCCAACACUCAGGAGCUGAGGUAGGAAGAUCACCACAAUUUCUAUGCCAGCCUGGGCUGCAUAAACAAGUUCAAGGCCAACCUACACUGCAUGGUGAGACCUGUCUGAAAGAAAAAAAAAAGUAAUUAUACUAAAACAUUCAUCACUUCUAACCACUUCUUUAACCCAGUCUACAAGUAAUUUAUAAGACUAAUCUCUAGAAGUGAUGCAGAAGUAGUUUUAUUAAUAUGGGAUACAGAUGUGGAAAAAUUUUUAAUUUUUGCUGAUUAAAGAACAUAAAAUUAUAGAAAAUCAUUAUAGGAGGAUACAAGGAGUAAGUGCAAAAAUGCUCGAAAGGACCACCAAUUAAUGAUUAUAUGUUUAUAUACUUGACAUAUAUGUUCAUACCUGUUGUUUGUGGGGUUUUUGGUAUAUGUUUUUAUAAUACUGUGUUUUGAAAAUCCAGCUGAACUUUUCUUUUUCAAAACUAGUUUUGUGCAAGUAAACUCAUAGACUGAUGUACAGAGAAAUUCUAUUGCUACAGUUGAUCUAUAAAAGUUACUGUCUUGGACUUUUUCUCUAUCUUCUUAUUCUGUAUUUCCUAGGCAGCUUUCACUAUUAUAAUGUAUUUUGAUGCAGUAAACUACCAUUUUUAGUACAAUUGUGUGCUGAAUACUUUAAUACAUUAUUUAAACCUUACAAGAACUGUUUUUGCAAAGAGAAAUUGACACUUCACGAGCUAAAUAAAGAAGUUGCCUGGGAUCAAAUAGACUAGUGAUCAGCAGAGCCAGGAUUCCAAACCCAUUUGUUUAACUUGCUCAUAUACUACCCUUUAUUUGUUGGGCAUCUGCUCAGAACACCAGGCUCAUGCUAAGGAUGUAAAGUGAAAACAAACAACAGAAAACCUACAUUUUCCAUCCUCAUCAUAUUCAAUCUAGCUGUAGAAGGGUGUUGCCUUUCCUUUGUGGCCCAUCUGGCAAUACCUGACUGGUGCUUGCCAGGGUUGGUGUUUUCCCUAAUAUCCAGUGACUUUUAACUAAGCACUUUUUGUGCCAGAACCUGCACUGUUUUUCAGUGCCAAUAUGACUGUUACCGAAAGCAAGCCACACAAAAUGUUUUAAUUAUUUUGACAUCAUUAAGUAUUUUCCAAGUCUUCUGGAAUUCUUUCAGCAAAAUAGAAAAGAAAUAUUGCAAUGUACAAGAAUUAAGCAGCAAUAUCACUCAUAUGCAUUAAAAACGUGUUUAUGCAGUGUGGGUUAAAAUUCUCAAGCACAUCCAAUACCAGGCCUGAGCCAGUAAUGAGACUUACUUUUUUCCAGCCCCCUUGACCCGCUGCCUAGCCAGUCCAUUAUGACAAUAGCAGAAGCAACUGUGCUCAGUGCAUCACAGGAUGACAGCCUUUCCGGUGUAUGCCUACCAUUUAUUAGCAUAUUAGUGGCCAGCCAUCCUCCAGAUGCCCAGCCGUGACUAUUACACAAAGAAAACAUUAGCUUUCUUGGAUGUAGUUAUUAUAAUUUGAAAAUUAGUUUUGCCUUCAUGGCUGCAUCACAUUUGGAAUCUGUCUUUGAUGUUGUUAUUAGUUAGUGCUCGUGGUGCUCAUGAUAACUGUCAUACAUUAAUCACAUCCAUCAUGUGACUCUUAAUUUGCUCUAUUAUGAUAAAUGGAUUUAGACGCAAACUUGCAAUUACCUAUUUUGAGGUUAAUAGCAGAUUUGGGGUUGUAAUUGGUUCCAAAUAUUCAGUUUAGAGAAAUUAUUUCUUAUCCUGGUCUAAAAUAUGUUCUAAAUGAGCAAAUUGUAUUUUUUAUACUAGCACUGAAAAAUUGUGCCAGAUGAGACCAUAUGAGAUAUCUGAACAUGGUAAUCACACAGAGUUUUUAACAAAACAGAAUAUUUGUAUUUUUCAGGGACUGUUCUGCUCUCUGCCAUUCUCACUUAUUUAUCCCAUUGUUACCUCAGUCUCAACUUGUUCUAAAAUAUACAUUCUCUGUUUAUGUGUAAUGUUAUAUAGUGAUUUUUUUUAAAUAUUACUGGUGUUAAUGACAUAUAAUUAAACUGUUUUGAUCUAAUUGCAAGAAAGGCAUUUGUAAAGGGUGUAAUAUACUUACCCUUUUUAUUUUUCUUGAGUCUCCUUGCUAAGUAUUGCAUAUUUAAAAUGACUGCAUAUCCAAAAUUAUGUCAGAAAUCUCUUUCCAAAUGAGCAGAACAGUCUUUGUUAGGUCCUCUCUGAUUACAGCAACUUAUAUCUUUGCUUAGAAGGUCUGCAUGGGUUACUGUUUUUUUUUUUUUAAGGGGAAAAAAAUGGGUUACUGUUUUUGUGCUGCAACUAUCUCUUCUUAUAUAUGAAUUUCUAUACUAUCAAGUACUACUGAUACUUCAUUAAAGAAAAAUCUUCUCACAAACCUUAGUAACAGGAAAUCAUGGGCAUAUGGACUGUCAAUAGUAAUUGAGACGGUUGUAUGAGAUGGCAAGAUGGGACUUAGAGUUGGGAAACAUUGAGAACAUUGAGAAAUCAACUAGUUCAGAGUAGCAUGGAGCCUAAGAGCCUAACUUGGGAGACAGUCAAACUGGAUUUACUUCACAUUUCACCUACUUACUAUUGGACAGUAAACACAGCACUUGUAUCAUUUUCCUUAGCAGGGAAAAUUAAAGUAUCUAUCUUACAGAGUUGUAAAGAUUAAAUAAGUAAUUGUGAAAAACCCUUAGUACGUUGUUAGAUAUUAGUAUUAUUAUCUUACCAUUUAGUCUGUGCUGUCAUCCAAAAAGGGAAUUCAUUCCACGUGGUUUAGAGUUUGAUUAUUUAACCUGUACUUAAGUUUUUCCUCUGAAAAGUCACCGUUAUUCUCCCAAGUGUUUUUGUCACAUUUCAAAUAGUUCUAGAAUAACAAUUCAAGUCAUCUUUUUUUGUAAUUUGUAUACUUUUGAUCUGGUCCUAUUCAUUAAAAUAAAUGAUAUUUUGUACAAAAAGUUUUUCAAAUGUUUGAAAUCUAUUCUUCCAAGUGUAUUCAUAAGGUUAAAGACCUCAGGUACCUUAAUGUUCAUGUAUAGCAUUGUUUACAGGUACUUUAUCUUUGGAUACAAAUUGGGUAUCUUUUAAAAUAUAUGGUACCCAGAAUAAAACUUAAGUAUUAUUUUUCCAGUGUAAUACACUACAUUUCUUGCUCUACUGUUUGGUUUUUGGUUUUUGCAGUACUGGGUAAUGACUGGUCUUCUCAUUCUGCUUACAUCCUUAGCCGAGUUAUAUUUGUUUUUGUUUUGAGGCAGGAUCUCAUUAAAUUACUUAGGUUGGCCUUGCACUUGUAAGAUGCUUCUGGCUUAGUCUUCAGAAUAAAUAGGUUUACGAACGUGCAUGUUGCAGCUUGUUUUAGUUACUUACGGUCUCAUAGUCUUAAGUUUGUUUAGGUUGUCUCUACAGUGGCAGGGAGACAGUAUGGAGAUCACUGAUGCUCUCUCUUAAGUGCUUGUAGUUCACCAAAAAUCCUUAAGAUCUUUUCAUACUAAUGAAAUGCCUUAAACCAUUUUUAGUACUAUUGAUAUUUAUCCCCAGUACAAAACUUUAUAUAAAAAUAACUUAAGUGCCAUCAUAUGCUGGUUGACAUAGUAAUGAGAAAAGGGUAUAAAAUUGGGAGAUCAUUUUUACAUUGUUCACUAGUUUUCUGAAGUGUCUACCUUAAUGUUACACACAAAAUAGAUGCUUUGUCUUUAUUGACUGUUAAGUGUUCAGAGUUACACCCAUUGAAUGCUUGCUCUCUUUAGUGCCUUAUGAAUAAGUCCUGCUUCUUAGCUGCAUUUUAUAACAUUAAAUUUGUUAUAUAAAGAGAAGUCCUUUAACUUGCUUAAGCUCACAUUCAUUCAUGGUAAAACAAAAACUGGACAGGAAUUGAAUCGUCCAUAGUUAGGUGAUGGUUUGACGUGAAAGCCACUGUUAGGGCAUUGAAGAGUGUUCUCAAAGGAGUGACACAGGCAGCUUUAUGGGUUAAAAACAUGGCUGUGGCUGCUGUGUAGCAGAGAUUGAAGAAUAGCUGAAAUGCAGACAAGGAGGGUUCCUCGAGGCUGUCUACAGUCUAGGUAAGAGAGGGUCAUGCCAGGCAGAAGGGCACAGAAAAGAAAAUGUUUUGCAGUCUGUUCUGAGUUCGAAUCUUCAAAAUCUGGUGACCAGUCAAACCUAUACAUUCAAGGAAAGCAAGGAUUCUAAGUGACUUCAGGUUUUUAUUCAGUCAUAAGAUAAUAAUUACAAUGCAGAACUAAUUAGUUAAAAAGACUUAAGUGUAUAAUUAUGAUAGGUUAGUCCUCAGGAAAUAGUUGGAUGAAUAAAUAAAUGUGUAUGUUAAAGUUAAAAGAUCUACUUUCAAAUGUUUUAUUUCUCUAUUACCCUAUAUUUUUAAGAAAAAAUUAUACGGGUUUAUGACCUUUAAAAUGGGUCUUUUUCUUUUUAACUAUAGUAUCUUAAGAGAUUUUUCUCUCUCUAGAAGAAAAUGCCUAACCCAUGAGAAAGUUGGCAGGCAGCAAUUCACAUUUGUUCCUUUAUGUUUCCAAAGCUUUAUAAUCUUUUCAGAUACAUUUCUAUGAGAUUAAGUCAUGGGUACAUGUGUUUAAAUGCAUCUGUUCUGUUCUAAGUAUGUUUAGAAUGUUUUAAGUGCAAAAGGACUAGAACUGGAAGGAUAUAGGAGGAGAGGAUUGGAGGGAGUUACAGAAUUUUAUCUCUAUAAAGAAGCUUAGACGUAAAUGUCUACUAAACUGCUUACCUUAAUUAAUGACCAUGGAAGUUAGUCUUCAUCUAGUCUGGAGCCCUAGAUAUUCAGGCUAAUGUAGUUUUGCUGCAAUGAUUAUUCUUGAAGCUAUCUUGGUAAACUUUGCUCUUUAGACAAGCUAUAUAAGAGAAGAAAUUAAAUUACACUUUUAAGAAAGUAGUAGCAUCCAGUAGUAUAGUAUAUCACUGAGUACUUCACAUUUUAACAAUCCGUAGGUUAUAUAAUUGAGAAAGGAAGGGACAAGAACUUAGAAUAGAUGCCUUGGUGAGACACAGUAUACAAUCAAGGUCAGCUAAACUGGAAUAAUGAUAAAUGAGGUCCAGUAAGCACCCAAGCACAUGGAGGCCAAGAUGAGAAAAAGUUGUCAAGUGGAGUAGUAACAUAUUCUACACACACCAAAUAAGCCUAGGAACCUUAGAACCUAGGCCAGCUCUGCACCAUGUCAGAAUUUCAGGCCCAUUAGCAAAAAGGAAUAAACUUCUGGCAUUUCAUUUUUUGAGCUAAAACCAAAGUCAUAGUACACAAGAAAAAGAGACCUUAAAAUUGCCACUAUAGAAAUGCCAAGGUAAUAACCAUUGUACUCCUCCAGGUCCUGUCAGAUACCAUUUUCUGAUCAACUCACAUAAAAUAUGUAGGUAUACAAGAAGCUGGAUUUAGAGCUCACUGAGAGAACAAAGUGAGAAAAAAACAAUAUAGUUUUCAUAAUAGAAAAGCUAUCAGUGUAUCUCAUUAGAUACUUUGCUUUUUUAAAUUAAUGAAUUUUGAAUAGGAUAUGCAUUUAUAGAGUUAAAAGUGUAAAAAUACUAAAAAAAAUAUAUGUGGAAAACCAUAUACUGUUGUAGGAUGUACUGCCAAGACUCAUUACUGUGGACUGCUAAGCAUUGUUCAUAUUUAUCCCAGCAUGAAUUGUUUUGCAUACCCAAGUAAAACAAAUACAAUAUUUUUAUUUCCUUUCUUCUUUUACAAAAGAAUGCUAUAUUAUACAUACUGUUCUACAGACUUAUUGUUUUCAUUAAAUCACUGUAAGGAAUUUCUCAUUAAGGCCAUGCGAAGUCCAAACUGAAAGUUCAAGACUUUCUAGAUAAAUGUUUGCAAUUCAAGAUUGAUAUUAAAACUAAAAAUGCUAGAAUUUUGGACACUGUGUUUAAAAUGGCUUUAUCUAAAUACAUUCUUUUGUCUAGAGGUGUUAAGGAAUUGACAUUAACCAUUUACAUUGUUUUGUUUGUUUAUUUAUUUGUUUUACAGAUGAGACAAAAGUAGAGUGGCUAAAUUUUGAAGCAAAUUCUAAUUCUAAAACUAAUGAUACUGUAUAAUAGCAUAAAAUCUGUUCUCAGGGAUUGGAAUAAGUCUGUCAGAUUAUCAUUACAGAGGUACAUAUUUAUAGCAACCACCUCCAAAAACAAAUAUUUUUAAAAUGAGUUUUUUAACCUGAGAAAAUUUUAAAUAUUCCAAAAUGCAAAAGAAUGGCAUACAAACAUCAAUACAUCUUAGCUUUAAAAGUAAAUACUUGCAUUACCUUUGGCCUUUUGGCUAAGAUCAAAUAUAAAAGUAAAUGCUUCCAAGGACAAUUUAAUCCCUAGUUAUUUCCUGUUUCUCUCAAAAGUAACCACCUCACUGAUUUUGCAAAUUAUCAUUUCCUUUUGCUUUAUCUGAGUACUUGUAAACAAAAUAUAACCUUUCCUUUGCAGGUUCUGAAAGUUUAUAUAAGUGGUAUGUCAUUCUGUAUAUUCUUCCACAUCUUCCUUUUUUGUUGUCCAGCAUUAUGCUCUUGAAAUACAUCCAUAUUGACAUAUGUAGUGCUAAUUUAUUUUUGCCCUCAUAUACUAUACCACUAUACAGAGCAAAUCAAACUUAAUUUUCUAUUCUCCAUUGAUAGGCAUUUAGGUUGUUUUCUAUUUUUGUUACUGAUAGUGUUACGAUUAAAACCCUUUAUGUAUCUCUGUUUUAGUUACUUUUCUCUUGUUGCUGAGAUAAAAUACCUGACACUCAAAAUGAAGGAACAGGCGAUUUAUUUAGCUUAAUGUUUGUGGAGGUUUCAGUCCAUACUCAGCAAUCUGCAAGGCAGAGUGACAUACUGAGGGACAGCCGUUCAUGGUGACUGCUGCAGACACCAAAAGCAACAAGAGCAAAAGGGCAAAAAAGAGGAGCAAGCCUCUUUCCCUCCCUUAUAAUGUAUGCAAGCUACCUGUCUAAAGGCAGGUGCAGCACUCACACUGCCAAUCCCAGCACUAGACAGUCACAAACUCUAAAUUCAGCCACCUUUGAAAGUCCCUCAUGACCAUAUGAGGUUUUGAUGGUGUUGUGGGGGGGGGCAUCCACGCAUAAACCAAACCAAUCUCCCUAUAUUUAAGAAUAAAUGCAGAAGUAAAUCUUCCACUUUACUGUAUAUUGCCAGCUUUCCCACCAAAAUAAUUUUUGUUAAUUUAUAUUCCCAUCAGGUAUAAAAGUUCUGAUCUUGCAACAUCUUUAGCAGUGCUUGGUAUUGCAAGAUAUUUUGAGGUCUGCCAAUCUGGUGGAUGUGAAAUGAGUAUCAUUUAUGGUUUUAAUUUAUAUUUACUUGAUUUCUGAUAAUUUGGACCAUUGUAGUUAUGUUUAUUGAAUGUUCAAUUUCACUAUUUCAGAUUGCCAGUUUAUAUACUUACUUAAAAAAUUUCUUUUUUCCUAUUAAUUUAUAGUCAUUCUUAGGAUGCUAAUCUUUUGUCAGUUAUAUGUUUCGUAAGUAUCUUCUCUAAAUCCAGGGUUUUACUUUGAUUUUUAUGCUGUGUUUGUGAACAGAUUUUUCCAUUUAAUGCCAUUAUAGUUACCUCUGGUUUAAUGUAGUUGAAGUUAUUUUGUUCCAUUUUGCCUUUUGAGGACUUUGUCCAAAAUUUAUAAAGUUGAUUUUCUCUUCAAAUAUCGGUUUGUAUUAUGUUAUAUCAUUUAUCCACAUGUAUCCAGUAGCCUAUUGAGAACUGUGACUAUCUGCUUAUUGAGUACUCUAUUUUUUAAUGUCAUUUAUUGAAUGACAUUAUGAAACUUUCCUAUCAGAGAAAGCGCACAUGUGUUUCAGGAUUGCUGUUGUUUUUAAAAAUAUUUUUAAAUUUUUCUUUUAAAAUUAUAUUUAAAGCUUGCUGUACAUUAUUUAACUACCUACCAUCAUUGGCAAAUAUGUUCUAUUUAGGUCAGAUUUGAUUUUUGGAAAAGAUUAAAGCUUUAGAAUAUAAAAAUAACUUUUGGUUUAAUUUGAAAGGAGAUGUAACUCUUAACAAAAUAUAAGUCAUGUUCAGAAUGAACAUAAAGUCAUUCCAAAGGCAGAGACAUAGAAAUAUGAAAACUACUUUGAAAUAACAUUAUUUUAAUGUAUAUAAGGGCAUAAAACCUUUAUUAUAUUCAUUUGAAAUUUAAAUAUAAAGGCAAGUUCUCAUGACCCUUCAAGCAGCCAAAUGUAUAAAUAAGUGAAUAAAAUUCUGAGAGGUAAAUGCAAAAUAGACAUAUAUAAAACAUGGUAAGAGUGUAUGAGGGAAGAUCUGACUUUUCAGAGAAGUCAAGGAAGGCUGCACAGUGUUGUCUUUUGAACUGAACAUGGGAGGGUGAAUAGAAAUUAGUCAUAUGAGAGACAUAUAAGACAUGCAGCAUAAGCAAACACACUAAAGGAUAAAGUUGACAUCAAUAUUCAAAGCACCUUGAAGAUCAGGAGAUUUGUUUAAUGUUAUCAAAGUGUUAUAUUUGGUGACAUAGUUUGGUCUCUCACCACCAAACGUGGCUACCGAAGAAGUUUCAGCAUGAAAGCAUUGUGAUGAGAUUUACGUUUUUCAAUCAGAUUUAUCUUGACAAUAGAAAGAUCAGAAAACUUCCUUUAAAGAAAGGCUGUUAGUAUUUUUUUAAUUUUUUGAGCUGUGUACUCUCGUAGUGUACUGUAUAGAACAGAAGCAGCCAUAAAUAAAUGCAGAAAUGAGCAGGAAAUUUCUUUCCUCUGAUUAAAUUUGUAUAGCAAAAGCAACAGGCUGCUUUGAUCCUGUGCAGUCAAUCAUGAACUACUACAGAGGAGAAGAGUUUGAAGAUACUUUAGAGAUUGGAAGGUUAACUAGAAUGAUUGUAUUACCUUAUAAGGAAAAAGAUGAGAUUCUAAACAAGGUCUGUGAAAAUAGGGGUGAAGAGAAAGGGAUUACUGAGAACAGUGUUGCAGAAGUAUACUUGGCAACGCUGCUCCAGAAUGGGUGGUAGGCUGGUGAUGAGGAGAAGAUAAGACCCAAGUUGAGCAAAGAGUGGUUAGUGAUAGCUUUAAUGAAGGAAGUAAAGUAAAGACAGAUAGAAAUGUAUGCAGUUGUUUGUCAGUUUGGUUGGUUGGUUGGUUCUGUUUUGUAUUUUGUUUUUGCAGAGGGGCUUAGUAUGAGGGAAGGGGGCUUAGUGAAGGACCUAGCAGAACAGAAUAUAUUUCAUUUCUGGACUGCUUAAUUGAAAGGGCUCAUAGGAAAAUGGACAUUAUUUAAUUUAUGGAUCUGAAGCUUAGGAAACCCUAGUUCUCAAAGCAUGUAGUUCAUUGAAGUCCACAUGAUGCAGAGAGCAUCAAUUAGGACAAGUGUUAUUCAGUAAGAGACAACCAGUGACGCAUCUGCCUUACAGGUAGCUAACGUUAUGGAAAAGAUAGCAGGAAAAUGUGACUACCCAGAGAAAUACCCAAAACACACAAUUUAAAGAAGGAGAGGUCUAAUUUGCUUCAUACUUUUCAUGGGAUUCAGUGCAUUAUUAAUUGUGUCCAAGGAAGCAAUAUAAUGGUAGAAGGGCAUGGCCCAAAAAGAUGCAUAAUUCAUAGUGGCCGAGAAGAGAUGAGGACAAGGCAACAGUGCCAGAAAGGAAGGGAUGAGACCCAAGGCCAUGUUUCUAUGAUCCAGCCAGACACACCCUCCAAUGUACCCCACCAAUCUUCUGGGAAGAUCCCAAACUCAGUUAAAUUGAUCCUCCUUAGCUGCCACAGUUGGCAUCAGUAAUAGUUUAAAGGUAAAAAUUUGGUGACUAGAGAAAAGCCUUUGAUUGUAGCAGAAAUUACACAUGGAAAGGGAUAUAAAAGUUUCAAAAAUAGGCUGUAGGACCUACCUCUGCAGUGUCUUAAAUGUCAUGGUCUUUCUCUUCCACUCUGCUCUGAACUCUAAGAGGAUGAAAUUUUGGUUUUAGAAUCUUACAUAAUUUGAGGGACCAAGGUGGUAGAAAAGGGUCAGGUGGCUGAAUGGUAGGUACUAUAGGUAUAAUCAUGGGCUCAGUAGAUAUGUUGGGUUAUCUUUGUCCAGACUUUCAUGUCUUCAUCCAUGUUCUAAGACAUGGAAACACCACAGAACAUCUGUGUCCCUGGCCUUCCAUAGAUGGUUACCAUUAAUGCACCUUUGAGAUGGCAGUGGACCCUGUCAUACGCAGCUGAGUCCUUAAGCCAUUUGAAAAGCAGUAGUCAUAACUGCCCAGGGCCAGUAGUUCAAUAAUAGAACUUCAGUCAUGACAGUCACUAAGUGAAAUCCACAAAUUCUGUCGCUUUGUCUUCCAACAGCUGAAAUGAUUUAGGGAUAGUCUGCCCUAUGACCUCUCCUGGGAAAGGAGGUGCAUAAGAUGCUGAAUUCUGUUCCUUUUGAAUUCUUUAGUUCUCUUGAUACAGAAAGUUUUUUCUUAUCUUUUGAAAUGUGAGUGCUAACUUGAAGUCAGUAAAGAGUUUCUCUUUCUGUAUCUCUCACGUGGGAUCAAGAUUACAUCCGUCCUCAGCCACCAAGUCUUGAGUUAAUGGAACUAAAACACUCUAGGGAAGCAUCCCAAACCUAUUUGAUGUUCCAAAGUAUUAAAAUUUGCAUUAGGACUUUUACAUUAGCUAAGGUGUCUAUAAAAAUACAUGCUUGUAGACAGUUCCCCAGUGGCUUCACAUCGGAAGAAAUGGUGAUACAUCCAUCAUUCUACCUAAGGGCCGGAAUAACUUUCACUCCUGCAGAUACUUCUAUUAUGUAACCCAGCUGGUAUUCUGUGAUUGUCACUGGUAGAGUUUAGCUAUAAUUUUGUAGAAUAAUAUAAUGAUAUCAUUGAUUUUAACUUGUCAAGAUACAUUGAUAGGAGCUUCUGGGAUAUAAAUAAAAGAAAGACCUUAGAAUGAGUGCUUUAUUUUGUCACCCCAUUAAAUGCCAUGGCUUUUCCAUAUUGUUUCAUACUCUAGAUUUCUGCAUUCUGGCACACACCUUGCCAAACUCUGCAUCUUUGGCAUACAAUCACAAGGAAAGUACUUUUUUAUUUUUAUUUCACUAAAUAAUAAUUUGUUUGAUACAUGAUGUAGAAUCAUAUCUUACAUGAAAUCUCUGCAAGUAGUUUUGUUGUUUGUAUGGCAAAUGUUUAGUAAAGCAUACUUUUUUCUUUCAUAAAUAAGAUACCAGAAGCUGUUUGCUCAAUAUAGGCUAAAUAUUUGAAUCACUUAGGAGCAUUUUUAUAUACUGAUGCCCAAGUCCUCCCUCAGAUUAAUCUAGUAACAUUCUCUAAGGUUAGAGUUGAUUUUCCCAUAAUUCUUUCUCUGUGUUUAGUAUUUGUUUAUUUGUUUGUUUCUAUAAAUAUUUACUAAAAGCCUACUGUAUUCCCAGGCACUAGCUGAGUAAUGUACAUAUAAUAGUGAAAAAUACCAAGUUGAUGUAUCUUUCCCCCAAUAGACAAAAAAGACUUUUGGAAAAGAAACAUAAUAGCACAAAACUUUCUUUUUUAAUUUUUUAUCUUCAUUUUAAAGAGAAUAAAAUCAAAAUAAAACAGAAUAAUGCAAUCAAAACAAACCAGUAGGAGUGGCACAGGAUUUCAAAACAAGUAAUAGGAAAUUAACAGUGGUUACCUUAAUGCCUUCAAAUUAGUUGUCUUCAAAAUAGCUGCCCAUAUCUUCAAACAUAGUAAAAAAUCAAACGCAACAGAACAGAAUAGAAUAGAACCAAUAAAAACAAAACAAUAAAUGCAAUACAGAACUACAAAACAGGAAAAUAGUAAAUCCAAAAUGGCUACCAUAAUAUAUUUUGUUAUUUUUGAAAUAACUGCCUAUGCCUAGCUAUAAUAAAAUCAAACAAGACAGAAUAGAAUAAUACCCAACCCAAGAAAAACAAUGAAAAUGAUACAGGACUUCAAAACAAGGUAAUAGGGAAUUAACAAUGGGUACCACUUUCAGGAGAUCGCCCAUUCAUGCUGCAUUGCAUAUUAUUAUCCUGUGAAUAGAUGAUCAGACUAUCAGCUUUAGACCUACAAAGUCGGUGGAAACACUAAACACUGAAAGCAUUAAAUUGUAUUUUACCUCAUUAGCUAUCAUUGCAGCCCUGUGUUUCUCCACGUCAGCCAGUCACUUAAUGUGGCAGGGAUGGGGCGGGAGUCCAUUUGCUUGUUUCCUAGCUUACAUGCCAGAAAGGGCUGCCAUCUUGUUCUCCCUGCAGUGACCUGCAUAUGGUGCCGACUCACAGGGAAGGCUUGCUUCUUGUUGACUGCUUGUGUUCUUCCCCUGUAGUCCACAAAUGGCACUGACUCUAGAGAAGGAGCUGGCAUCUAAAACUUUCUUUUCAGUGAACUAAAUGAAACUAUUAGUAUCAAUAAAACAAAUCUGCAUAUAAAUUGAAAGACUUUGAAACAACAAACUAGAGAAUAUGAGGAAUAACUUGAACUUCUCCAUACUUCCUAUUUCUGUCUUCUGUUUUGCUCUUUACUUAUUAAAACUCAUAUUUUGAAUUUCCCAUAUAAGAGAAACCAUGCAGUAUUUAAAAGCUUAUGUGUCUGACUUCUUUAAAAAUUACCCAGAUAACUCUAAUGUGCAAAUAUGUUUGAGAACCUCUGUUUUCAAAAUAAUCAAUUGUGUGUUUCCCUAGUUCAAAUCCCUUUCUCCAUAGAAAAGAGUUUAACCCCUUUGCAAAGAUAUUUAAUUUGCUCCCCAGAAUGACUUCACUACUCUUCCAGAAAAGUUCAUGGUAUUUCUCUGUUUAUAUCUUCACUCCAAUUACAUAUUCUCAAGAGUUCUAAGUCCUCUCAUCAUAUGUUAACACACACUUUGAGGAAGGGACUCUAUUCUUGCUUAUUAAAACCUUAUCUUGAUACUAUCAAACAGAACGGAACAGCAUAAAAUCAGUCAAAACAAGGUAGUGGGAGUAAUACAGGGCUUCAAAUCAAGUUAAUAGGAAAUCAAAAAAGUUACUAUAAUAUAUCCUGCUAAUUUUUUUAUUUUUUCCCUUAAUUAAAAAACAAUAAAUAAAUAAAUAAUUUUUUAUGAAAAAGGGGGAGAUUGAAAUAAAAGAGGACAUAACAACAUAAUCAUACAGAUCAAAGUAUGACAAUUUAAGCAACAUAUGUGUUUCACCACAAGACAACCCGACUUAAUAGUAGUUACCAUAGUCUCUUUCCUUGAAAUACUUGAAUAUAACUUCAUAUACUAUAGCAUCAAACAUAUCAAGACAGUGUGAAACCAUUCAAGAGGAUGAAAGUAUUACAGGGUAUUUAGAACCAGCUAACGAAAAACGAACAAUGUUUGCGGGUAUAGGCAACUACUUUGAAGGCAAUAAGAUUUACUAUGAUGCCCAUUCUGGUUGACUAUUACCUUCUUUUGAAGUCCUGUAAUGUUUCCAAUGUUUAGGUUUUAUUGGUCUUUUCUGUACUGUUUUGUUCAAUUUUAUUAUACCUAAUGAUAUAGGCAAUUCUUUUUAAGGAAGCAAGAGGCAUUAUGGUAACCAUUGUUGAUAACCUUGUAUUCUGUUUUUACAUCAUGUGCUAUGUCUAUCCUUUGUUUUGACUGACUGCUUUGUUUUGUCAUAUUUCGUUUUAUUCUCUUCCAAAAAAAAAAAGUAGUAAGAACUAUGGGAGUAAUAAAACCCAAAAUGUGUAAAUUUUGUUGUAAAAAAGAGAGGGGGGAAAAAUGCUCUAAAGGAUACAACUGCAAGGGUGUUUAGGUGUGUUAAGAUAGAUGACCAUAUUACUAAGUUUUCAUUGGAUCAUUGAAAACAACUGUUUGCAGUCUCACUGUUUGAAUGUCCACUUUGUAUGCUUUAAUCCUGUAACUUGAACAACUAUUUCUAACAUGACAAUAUGUAAUCUAUUAACUAGUGAUUUCUUACCAUAAGCAUCACUACAUUACUUCAAACCUCCCUGGUUCUCCCAAGCAAUGUUUGCCUCUCUCUAUACCUUGACCCCAUUAUCACUUUGAGUAUGCUUUAUGCCUCAUAUAGUUGUACUUGUGUUUAUAUCCUCUUUCUACAAAACAAAACAAAAACAAAAAAUGAGUUAUUUAAGGCUUGAAUCCAUGUCUUGAUUUUUUGUAUUAUUUUAUAGUACCUUACAUGAACAUUCAAAAUUUGAAUAAAUAAACUCUAUUUUGAAAAUUUGUAACAUGAGGAUCAGAAGUGUGGGUUCUAGAACACAUUUAAAUGACAACUCCACCAUUUAGUACCAUUGUGAUAUAAACAAAUUACUUAAUGCUUCUACUCCUCAAUUUCAUUAUUAAUCAAAUGCUUCAGAGGCAUUUGAGAAUUAAGUGGUGUACUAUUCUUAAGGUAACUAAUGUACUACCUAAUGUACACUAUGCAUUACAUAAAUAUUUGCUACUAUAUAUUACUUUCUAAUUGAUUUCUAUCUGUAUGGAGCUAUAAGUACUAUCUGUGACAGGGAUGGAGCAUGGAACAGGUAAAAUACAGUUAAUAAGCUUUGUAUCAUCUGAUGAUCUAAGUCAGUUGAGCCCCCCUGCCCUUUUCUUCCAGGAUCUUAUUGGCUGACAGUGAAGAAGUUCAUGUGGGAAUCAGAAUAGACUUUGGAAGACAGAGGAUUCCAUCUUUAAAAGAACAUGAUAUAGCAAGAAAGUGAAAAAUACAAUAUAUGAAUAGAAUUCUAUAUAAUUUUAUAUUAUUAGUAAUAUGUAAUAACAGAAACUCAGGAAUCCCCCCAAAGUCUCACAUGAAACGAGAAUCUACAGAAAGUAGAGGGCUCUGAAUUUCCUGCUGUAAUAAAAUAAAUUAAAAAAUGGAUAUACACUGAUACUUCAUGGCUUUAUACCUUAUGGAUACUCAUCCAGAGGCAUCUGUGGCAGCCAUUUCAGCAUGAUCCCUGGUCCAUAAGCUGGUUCUGUGGAGUUUUUAGUAGUUACAAGGGAAAGAGAGAAUACUGAGGAGGAAGAAAAGAGCAGAGUGUCAGAGCAUUCACUUACUUUUUCACAUUGUACACUCUUACAAGCACUAGGAUUGUCAGACCUUAGAUCUAAUCUAUCUCUAUUACGAUGAGUAAGAAUUAUGAAAUAAUGUAUCUAUAAGCAUUUUUACUACAUUUUAACCUACUUAUUAUAUGAAAAAUGACAGACUAAAGUUGUAACAGUUUUUGAGAGGUUGCCUAGCAUAUAGAAGACCUUGAGCUCAAUCUCCAGCUCUGAAAAAAGGAAAAACAAGGCAUAUCCUAUAGUAUAAUACCUGGGCUGUCAUAUGUACUUGUAACUAUAAACUGUUAUUGAUAUCACAGGCUGAUGAUGGUUAUUAAUUAUCAAUAACUCAUUCAUCACUAGGACAAAAUUACUCCCGGGGCAUAUUUAAGAACAUAUAAGUCAUAUGAGGACUAGUCACAUAGCUCAGCAGCAUGGCACCUGCCUGGGAAGCACAAGGUCCUGAGUUCAAUUCCUGAUACCAAAAAAGACUAUUGCUGGCAGUGAUGCACUAAAAUUUAUAUUAAUUUCUAUUUGAUCCAAUUGCAAAUAAUAAUGCUAUCUUGAUUUUUGAGCCUGAGAAUUUUAAUAUCAUAGGAAGAAAGUUUUUAGGUCCGAGGGAUAAAAUGUUAUUAAUAAUUGGGAUUAUAUUCAACUAACUUUAAAAUAAUUAUUUCAUAUUUAAUGUAUCUAAAUAUUUUUAAAAUUUUAGAUUCAAUAAUGACAAUAGGAUAAAGAAGGACUGUUAUUGCUGAGGUACAAAACUGAAACAUAUGGCUGUUGUAGAGGAUAUGUUUGUGAUAAUAUAACAUGUGUGGCAUAUGGAGGAAGCCAGGUUGGAAGCCUUCUGAAGAUUGGACUAAUAUUAUCACCACUAAGUAGAUGUAAGUUGCAGUGCCUUAGUAACCAACUAUGUCUCUUAGCAAUUAAUAGAGCUUUUUAAUAGUGAAAGCAAAGGUAUUUUUAAAGGUAAAAAUCAUUUAGACACGUAUUUACAUAGAAUUUAUUUAUUUUUAUCUUAGUACUUAAAGAUCAUGCUGCUGGUUCUGACUAACAUUUGUUAAGAUUGAUAUGGCUAAAAGACAAGUGACUAAUAGCCCUUUUCAUUCUAGAUACAUAAUAACUAAUGACUUCGAUGCCUAGAGUCAUGUUUUCCCACAUAGUUUUUCUCAGUGUGAGCUGUGUGGUUUCUUGAUUACUGAUAAGCAGACUGAUCUCAGCUUCUGUGUUUUCCCUGAAUUUUUUUUUUUAAUUUAGUAGCUUUCCUAUAUCAUUUUCAAUGGUACUUCACUGGGUUCUUUAAAGCAUUUAUAACACUCAUCCAGCUUACGUUAAUCUCAUUUCAGGUCACCAUAAAGCAGUUGUUUUGUCUUAAUCGGUAGGCUUGCAUAAUCCACAAGAAGUCUAUUGUCAAGUGUACUUCUUCUGGUAAAUUUGCUGCAUUCUGGGAUUUUGUUGCUGCUCUCUUAUUGUUUACAAUUAUGUACAGUAUUUUAUGUGAUGCUGAUGAAAUUGUGCAUAUAAUCAGAUGUGACCAGUUCAGGUCUCUAGCCAUGUACUAGAAGUUUAGACAUUCAUCACUUUGAUCUUGACCUUGUUGCUACAAUGUGUGCACACACUGUCUGUGGACUCAAAGGUCACACUGGCCUUCUUGAUUUGAUUUUCUACUCUGUCAGUCAGCACACCAUUAAGCAGAGUGCUGCCACUGACCCUUGUAAUCUCAAUAUUGCCAGUGAGAGGUGUGUAGGGUUCCGCUGAUGGGGGCAACUACGUGAUCUCAUGCUGUAAUUCAAUUCUGUGUGUAAUUAUUGCACACCUAGUACUUGCCAAAAAUAUACAAAUAGAAAUAAAGUACAACUUCUACCUUCAAGGAGCUUACAGUGUUAAUUUUAUGUUGACAAAAGUCCAUCUCAUGAUUAAAAGAGACAGACAGUAAGUGCUGUUGGAGGUCAAAGCAGACUUAUUAACAUUCAACCACUGGUCUUACUCUACAAAAGGAUUUAUAAUCGUGGCCUGUCUUUAUGUGUGUGCAUUGUAGAAGCUCCCGCAAUAGCCUAUAGCAGCAGCCCUUGAAUGAGUCUCACGGGCUUUUAAUGAUAUUCAGUUUUGUUAAGUGUAGUUUCCCAGAGGACUAAAAAAUCACAGUCUAACACUGGCUCCAGAAUCUUUUAUUCCACUCUCAGAGAUUUACCACACAUAGUAGGUUGGAUAAGAUUAGAAUACUUAGUUGACUAUUGGGUGGUUCACAUAUAUUGCAUAAUUUUUUGUCACUAAUUCACCACCUUUUAUGAUUAUAUAUGAGAGUAGGUAUUUGUAGGAGUUUCUCAUUACACAAAUAUGUUCUUGGCUUUUUUUAAAUUUUAGAAAUACUUUCAUUUUUUCUCAUCCAUUUUUAUAUCCAUACUUACUUUUAGUGAUGAAUUGUUUAAUCUAAUUUUUAGUUUAUUUUAUAUUACUAAACUCUUCUUAGACUGCUUCAGCUAAUACACAGUAAGUGCAAAAAUAAAAGGUGUUUAUCUUGUUUGUGUUGUAAUUUAUAACCAGAAGAGUUUACCAUCACAAAUAUUUAGCAAAGUGGUCUUACUAUCUAGCCGCAUAUUUACACAUGGGAUUUACUGGUGUUAGGUCAAAAGUCAACAUAAAACAGGAAAGGAGAUUCUGAUGUCUCUGCCCUUGAAAAUCUUUUCAGAAAAUUUCACAAGCAGAUCACUGCACUAUGAAAAUAAUGGGCUGCUUAGCACAUCUUCAGUCUUCACCUACAUAGGGGCUUUUGUGUAAAACAUCAGUCAUUCUUCCAAGGUAGCGUCAUCAGUAGUUUUGAAUUCAAGAAAAGUAGGAUAAAGGAAUACUUGUUAGAUCUGCCAAAGUAAAAGGUGACAAAAGAGGAAGAGGAAAAGUUAGCUAAAAGGCAAAAGAAAAAUAGCAAACUUAAGAGGGUUCUCAGCCUUUGGGGAUAAUUUUAGAAGAAAUAAAUAUUGAAUUAACUGAUAAGCUUCUUUGACCUCAUUCAACCACAAGUUGAAUCGUCUUACUGCAGAAAACAAAUAAUACUAAGGAGAAAAUUGAUUCUCUGACUUUUUAUGACUAUUAAGAAUUUUAAAUAUUUGAGUGUGAAAUAGUUCUAUAAACAUUAAAAAAAUGUAGUGCCUUAGUGAGAGAUUACUAAAUACUGUCUGAAAAUCAAGUUCACUUCCAGUCUCAUCCAAUAUUGCAAUUGAAUACAGACUAAAAAGAAAUUAUCAAUGCGAUAUAAAAUGGUUACUAUAGUCACAGUAAUAACAUAAAUAAAUGAUAUUUCUUUGAAGCAGAUGGCAUACAACAAAGUGGCCAAUAUAAACUACAGUAUUAUUAAUAUAUAGAUGUUGAAAAUAUAACUUAUGAGUUGCGAAUUUUCAGUUAAGUUUUUCUGUGUAUUUGACUCUAGAGUCUCACUCACAUUCUCUAGGAUUUCUUGAGUUUGCAAACAGCUUAAUUGAUUAGCAGAUGGCAUGCAAUCCCCUGUCUCCCCACAAAGCCCUCUCAGGUUGCUAUAUAGUCUUAACUUACUCUCUCAUUACUUCCCUGUUCUAUCUGAUUUGUAGAAAGAGAUCUUGUGAACCUACUGGACAAACUGGUGCUAGCAUUUAUAUUCAGAUAUACUGCAUAACAUUCCUUUAUGGCUUAGUAAAUGCAAAUGGCCCUGUAUGUGAGCUUAUGUGUUUACAUCUUACAAAACUGUCAAAGAAAAAAAUGACAUAAUUCUAUUUGAUGAACCAAUUUACUUUAUUGCUGGAUAUUAAAUGUUUUCAAGGCAAACUGUGAAAGUAUGCUCACCUUUCUUAAAAAUUCUUGCCAAUUACUGUAAAUUUUCUUCUGUUAAUCACUGAUGCCACUUUCUUUUUAAAAAAAGUUAAAGUAUUUUGAGAUGAAGCACACACCAUAUACAUAAACACCUUUUUUAUUAUUCUAGAAAAGUUAAGGCAAAAAUCAAAUUUAUUUACCUGUGUUACAGGGUCUUGCCAAUGUAAAAAGGCCAGUUACUUUCAAACCAUUUCCUAAGAAAUCUUUAUUCUCGAAAGCUACUAUUCACACAUAAAAAACAGUGAUGUGAUCUAGGCAAACUUCACAUCAUCAGUAAAGAAAUAGAUAUUUAAUAUGUAAAAAUACCACUUUUUAUAGCACCUUUUAUGUGUAAAGGAAACCAAAACAAGGCAUCAUAUCGAUCUUCUUUACCAUCCCUUUCUUUAGACAGUGGGAACAAUAACCUUAGAAUAAUCUCAUUUCACAGUCUACCUGAAAUACAGCUCAUGUUAACAGAACACUGAUUUCACCUCAAAUUUAAGGAUACUGUAUUUUGUGUUUUUUUUUUUGUUUUUUGUCUUUUUCUUUUUUAUCGGUACCAGGGUUCAAACUCACGACCGCCUGCUUGCAAGGCAGGUGCUUAUGCCGCUGAGCUAAAUCUCCAGCCCCUAAGAAUACUGUAUUUUGGACCAACAUUUUGACAUCUGCAUUUUUAACAUUUUGUAUACAUUACACAAUAUAUUACUGUAGAUGACACAGUUUGUAUAAAUAGGAAAGUAGUUCAAAAAAAGUUACACAUUUCCAAGGAACAUCAUAAGUAAUAAAAAAUCUCACCUCUUAGGCCUCUUGUGGUCAAGGGAGUGUCUGAAAGACAUCCUAGCAAUUGCUUGGAUUUACUCUUUACCUUCCCAGCAAAGAUUGCAUAACCAGAGCCAGUCUGCUAAGCCAGAAUGCUUUGUGAAAGAACUAGAUAAAAGUGAAAUAAGAAAAUAAAAUAAGGAUUAAAAACAAACUUUAAAAUUAAGAUUGUGUUCCUAGUUUCAAAAAAAAAAAAAAAAAAGCCUUGGUGGUUAUACUACUCCAGAAAAGGUUCUAGGCUUUAGUGAAGUUUUCAAUAAUUUUAGUGCUGUAAUUUUGAUCACAGUAGCAUGUCCUCUUGUUUUGCUAUGUUAUUUUAAAAUCAAGAAAAUAAUUUAAUGUAUUGAAUAAGAAUCAAAAAUGAUUUUUAGCUAGAAUUGUUCUCUUUGAAAUCUGCAGUACAGAAUAUGUAGUUAAAUACAUCAUUUUUGAGGCAGCAUUUCUAUUCAAACUUCACAUUUAGACAUAUACUAUUUUACAGUGAAAACAGUUCUCUUCCUCAGAUCUAGAUUUGUUCUAGAAAGUGAAAGAAGUAAACAAAUCUUAAUCAAAUAUAAAGAGUAAUAUUUCAGGUACAUAAAAGACACAGUUUUUCAGAUCUCCCAGUGUAGCACCUGUGACAUCAAAAGACAAGUAAGGUUGUUAUGGUCUCUUGCAGUGGUGAAGAGCCAAAAUUGUUAUCUUUAGGAAUUUGUUUAUUAUAUACUACGAAGCUAACCGUUAAGAGCAUAAGUUCAUGAACUUUCCUUCUCUCACCUAAUCUUCAUCUUUUUUCUUUUUAGAUUGUUAUGAAAAUGUAAUAAUGAAAAUCAAACAGGGAAGAUACAUUCUGAAAUAAAUCACAGAUUUUUUGUUUUUAACAUUACUAAAAAAGCAAUACAAACUCCAGAUGAAAAUUUAUAGAAUCAAAGACAAAUAAUAAUGGCAAGCCAUUGUUACAAGGCACUUUAACAGAUUGUAGCAUGUUCUCAGAAUAAGCCUGUAAAUUUCAUGCUGUCUCAUAUGUUAAGUAAUAAAAAGUGAGAUUGAAACAGAGGCUUGGCCAAAACUAGACCUCAAAUUUGUAAUCUUCUGAUACUAAAUCUUCUUUUUUUUUUUUAGUGCUGUUUCUUCCUGUCUUCUGAUUACCAUUCUAUUGUAGCUUGUUAAACUGCUGUAUCUUUUUUUUUUUUUUGCAUUUUUGUAAUAACUAUCACCUAUAUUCAGUUCCUAGAUUUCCUACUUUAUAUCUACAGUCAAAAUUGAACUAGAUAUCUUAUAUGUCCCUUAGCAGCCACAUUGCUUUUGGCAGUGAUAGAUUUUUUUACUCUUGGAAGUAAUGUUUAGAUACUAAACACUGUUUUAGAUAGUUUAUGGUUUUUUUCUCCUGUUACUCUCACCAGUUUCUCUUUAAAUUUAUUUUACCACAUAACUUUUACUUUGAAGUAAAUUAUUUUCAAUUCAAAUUUUUUAAAGAUUGCCUUCAAUUCUUAAAAGAUCUUUUCACUGUACGCUGAAGAAAAGAAGACUUAUCUACACUAUCAGCAUAUCACAUAAUAUGCAAAGUACUAAAGGAAACUUUUAAAAAGUUAGAUAAAAUCCUUCUGCCUACGGGAAGCCUAGACUGAGGUCUUGUAGAGAGUGUUUCUUUCCGCCAGCAUCCUAAUGAUCUGUGAAUGUUAAUAAUGGAAAUUCCUAAACUCCAUCCGAGACCUAAUGAAUCAUAAUCUACAGGUAAGCUACAAGAAUCUGCACUUCUAAUAAGUAAGUCAGUGAUUUUGAGGCUCAUUAAUUGGAAAAACAUUUGUAUAUCAAAAAGAAAGCCAAAAAUGCAACUUUGAAUGAUAGUUAUAAUAGAAUUACAUCAAUAAAUAAUGUAAAUUUAUGUUUCCCAUGAGUGUGAAUAUGUGACCUGUCCUCAUUUACAGAUUUCUAUGCCUUAGGUGCCUUUAAAUAUAAACAAAAUAAAUAGAUUAUACUAGAGAUUCAGUUUUGAACUAGAAAUGUCAGAAUGAAGUUUUGUUUGCAAAAAGUAGGAAGUAGAUCUAAACUAUAGACUUGUUUAUAUAAGUUAAUCAAUGAGAAAAGAAUUAUUUAACAUGAACAACAAAAACUAGUAACAAGAUCUUGGCAUUUUUGGUAUUUUAUGGCUAUAAUAGCAUUAAAUAGCUCUAUUGGAGACCAGCACUACAACCAGUAGUUCAGAUAACCUGUUCAGCUGAAAAACUUGUAGAAUCUCAGACAUAGCCAUCAUUUGGCUUUGCUCUUUUGCUCAACCAAAAGUAGUAAUUCUCAUUGCCAAUAAGGAUUAUAUAUAUAACCGCAAGGAAAAUUGUUCUUAUUUGCUUUCUACUCGGCACUGUAAAAUGUUAAGUAGAGUUAAAUUCCAGAAUAUUUUUGAAUAAUCAGUAGAAAGUGUCAAGAUAGGGAAUAUUGACAAGUUAAUGUAAAUAAAACUUUUUCAAAACUUAAAUGUAACUUUCCAGUAUUUAUUAUUAAAGGGAUCACUGUAUUUAUUAAUAAAAGGGUACAUCAGUCAUGUUAUAGAUUUGCAUACAGCAACAAUCUGUAUCAUAGGUCAUAAUUCUAUAUAAAAAUUUCAAGUAAAUAGAUAACAUGUGAAGUAAAAUGUAAAAUAUGUUCAAGGUGCUGCUGUAUCCACUAUGUAUCAUGUUUCUUUUUGAGAAUUAGACACUGGUCAUUGAGGUUACUAUUUAGAAUAAAUGCAUAACACUGAUUACCACUUGAGAUCUGCAUACUAUUUGAAGGAAUAAUCCAUAAAGUGUGAACAAAUCAAGUAUUAGUGGAAUUUUCAAGUUUAAGAGAAUGUACAAAACUCUGUGACAAAAGGAAGAGGUUCAGGAUCUAAAUUUUGUAGAAUUAUCAGAGACUUCUAAUAGAAGGAAUCAUCUAAGUCCACAACUCAAAGAUGAGAAGACAGCCUACAAGAUCUGGGUAAAGAUAUUGCAGGAACAACAGCCACAAAGUCCUUGCAAAGGGAGAGAAUUUGGUGAAAUGAAGAAAUUGAUGGAAGGCUGAUGCAGCCAAAAUGGUAAGGAUUUGGGUAUUUAGACUGGGACAUGUCUUAUACAGGCCAUAGUAAUGCCCUUGGCUUUUUUUUUUUUUAAUGGUAAAAAAGUAAAACAAAAUUUCAUAACAAAAUAAUAGGAGAAUAACAAUAGUUAAUACAUUACAUGUUGUUAUCUUUAAAGUAGUUGGCUUUUAUUCUGAAUGCUGUGGGAAGCUGUUGAAGGGUGUUAUGCUAAGAAGUAUAAUCAGAAAUACUUUCUUACAGUUUUACUCAAGCUACUAUUCAUAGAAAGGAUGGACCUCUAAAGAGGGCCAUUUUAGAAUUGUUUGCUGUGGUACAGGGGGAUAGGGAAAAAAGCAAAAGAAAUGGCUGUUUUUUAUAUGGGGUUGUUGAAUGUUGUUUUAUGGGGAAUAAAUAAUCCUAGAUGUUAUGGCUAUGGAAAUGUAGGGAAAUGGAAAAUAGAGAUUUUUGUAACUGCUAACUGCCAUCAUCCCUCUCCCUUACACUCUGUCUGCAAAGGUCAUCUUCACAGAACCAUUUGCCUCUGUGUGUGCAUGUGGGCAAGUCGUCUUCUUCCCAUAGAAAUCUGUAAACAUCAUGGGUUCCUAAAGUCACAUCAACAAGUUUUUUUCUUGGAACCAUUGUGUUCCACAGAUAACUGAUUCCACUUUUUGCCUUUAUAUUAUUCGUAUUUUCAAGAAAUCAACAUUUCAGAUUGAGAGUAAAAUUCAGAAAAUCUGUUGACACUUUGAGAAACUUUAUCAGAUACAUUUUAUGUACAUAUCUACUUAAAAUAUUGUCAUUUGUACUGUAGCACACUAUAUACAGCCUGUCAUAGAUAAACAUUGCUUUUAUAAUCUAAUAUGUUUUCCCAUUAAAUAGUAGUAAAAGUAAUUUUGGAACAUUUAGAAUGAUUUAUCAGAUUUAAUAUUAGAGUAUUCUGGCACAAUAGAGAGCAAAAGUACAAAAUGAACAGGUUUAUUGAGUUGAGGAUGUGGAAAGGAGCACACAACCCAUGGCAGCUGGGCCGUCUCCUUUGACCAGAUGCAGAGAGGCAGAAAGUUAUAUGAUCUCUGAUUGAAGUGGUGCCAUGGGGCAGAUAUUGAUGACUGGUGAGGAACCGAUAGGAAUUCUCUAUGCAUGCAAACAGGAAGGGGAGUUACAGUUAGGGCUAAAGAAAAAGCAGGAAGUGGUAAGCGUUCCCACUUUAGUCUUCCACCCUGUUAGACCACCACCAUAACUGUACAGUAAUUUAUACUAGGGCAAGAACCUUUCAUUCCUGUCUUUGUAUUGUUAGGGAAAGGGUGAAGUCUCUCUUACUACUUCCUGCUGAAAGAGGCUCCAUAUUGGGGUUUAGGAAGGUUGACCGGAUGACAGUUGAUACCCAUGUAGAAGCUGGUGCCAGGUGGUUUAGCCAGGACAGCUUUGUCAUUGGUGAAUAUUCACAUGCUAGAUUGGAGAAACAAAACAAAGAGACAAGGUGCUAUGAGGAGGCAGACCACUGGCAUAAUUAAAGGACCCAGGAGAGGUAGAAGGAAAGGUGCUCUUGAUCCUAAUGUGCUGUUCCAUCAGUGCCAUAGUGAGGUAGAAUCUGAAAAAUAAGUGUGGGGUUGGGAGGGGUGAAGUCAUGAGAGGUAAUUGUUUCCCCAUCUGAAACUAUAGGUAGGACUUGUCUUUGCUCUAGGAGUUGAGCUGGAAAGAAUAAGCAUGAGAAAUAUAAGGCCUGACAGAAGAAUCAUGUUUGGAAAAUUAUAGAGUAGGAGUGGGGAAGGCCGUGGCUGUGUCACUGUAAGUGAUACGAGAUUUUAGACCUACAGGAGUCUCAUGUUUAACUAAACAGCUGAGGGUGGAGAAAACUAAGAUAGUUAUAGUGAAAAAUUAACUAAUAGAAUGUAAGGGAUCAGGAACCAAAUACUAAACAUAACGUAGCCUGAAAUUGUGACAGUGGGGCCUUGGUGAGAUGGAUACAGGAGAUAGAAGAUGAGAUGAUUCAGAGUUAGGAGGUCACUGCUUAGCUUGAGUGAUGUGGAACAGGAUGGCAGUCCAGUGACUUUGACUGCUAUUGAAGUUCCAAGGAAGACCAGGUAGGGGUCACUCCAUUUUAGUUGUAGUCCAGUUGAGAGAUCUGAGAAAUAAAGGCUGGACCGUUAUCUGAAGGGAUACUCUGAGGUAGACCAAACCUUGGAAUGAUUUUUUGUAAUGGGAUUUUAAUACUAUAUCAGCAGUCUCCCUGGUUAUGGGAAAGGCUUUUACAUAUCCUGAAAAAGUACAAACAAAAGUGAGAAAAUAUUUGAGAGUUUUGUGGUGGGGCAUGUGUAUAAAAUCUACUUGUCAGUCCUGACCAGGGGUGUGUCUGUGAAAUUGAUGAGUAGGAAGGAAAGGGGUGGUAUGUGUCUCUGAGGAGAGGUUCUAAUGUAGAGAUGACAGGUGUAAGUUGUUGAGACCCGAGACUGUCUGGGUCAGUCUACAUAAGCCCAAAGGAAUCCUGACAAUCACUGUGUAGGGGGGAUGAUACAAAAGGCAUAUUUAAGGUCUAGGACUAUGAAGUGAGUGGUGGAGGGAAGAAUAUGAGGGAACAUAGUACAAGGGUUUGGCACCAUUGAGUGAAUUGGGGUAACAGCAUCACUGCUUAUCCUAAGGUCUUAUACCAGAGAAUAGGACCCAUUAGGCUUGAAUACGGAGAAUGAGAGUAUUGUAGGGUGAAUGGAUAGGUUUAAGAAAACCAUUGUCUGAAAGAUACUUGAUUAUGGGUUUAAGUCCCUGUAAAUGUUUGAGCACUUAGGAUAUUGGGGAACACAAAAACUGAAGGAUCCCUGAGACAAAUUAAAAUAGGCAUGGCAUGGGUAGCAUGGGUGGGCUUGGAUGUAUCUCAAACUAUGGGAUUGACCAGAGAAGAAGGAAGAGGAGGGGAUGACUUUACAGUACGUUGUGAGAGUGUUUGGAGGACUAGAGCUGUGGGGAAGGAGAAGGUGAAGGAGAAGUUAAGCUUUUGAAGAUAUCUACCUAAAAGGAGUGGGGGACAUGUUGGAAUUAUUAGAAAGCUAUGGAUAAAGAAGAGAGUCUAGAACCUGCAUGGAAUAGGCCCUGUCUGUAGGGGCUGUGACUGUCAACACCACUGCAGAGACUGAGGACUUAAUGCAAUGACCUGAAAACUCAGGAAGAACACUAUAUAUGGCCUCCAUGUCUACAAGUACAGAGAAUGUCUUACCUCAGACCUCCAGUGAGACUUGGGGCUCAGAGAAGGAUACCUUAAUGCGGGGCUGUGGACCCCGAGCCCCAUCAAUCUUGAGCAGCAAGUCCAAGUAGCUCAGCCAGAGAUGAAUGCAGUGGUGAUGAGAUCUCCUGUUAGGGUAAGGCUUUAGAGGAUGACUUACCCGCUGUCUGGCAGCUAGGACAGUCACUCUUCCAGUGGCUCUUGAGAUUGCAGAGGGGGCAUUCUCUUGCCCAGAUAGUUAUUUUUCUUUUGAUUUUUAUCUCUGUUGGAAACAUGAAAAGCCAUAUUAAGACAGUUUCCCUGUGGGGUUUGAAGACCAAGUUUAGCCUUUUGUUUUGGGAUCUAGCCCACAGCAGUGAGCAUCUGUCUCCUCCACGGUCACAAGACAUCUGGUUGUCUGUAUUGGCUGUGUUGAGGCCCUAGCCUUGUCUAACUGCCUAUAAUAUUUUUAACUGACUUAGCUUUCUGUAGCAUUUUUUCUCUGAAGAAAUAAUCCAAACUGCCGUGAGAGAUAACAAGUAGUGACUGAUCUGGCUUUUUCAGGCUAAAAGGGGUUGAAGUUGUUGAACAGCAGUCAGAGGUACUCUGCAGAGCUUUUAACUAGUAGCCCUCAGUAAAUAGGCGUUUUUAUCAUGGGUAUGUAUAUAGCUUUAAGUCUAAAAGAGACAAAUGCAAAGAAUCAAGUAAGCAUUCAGGAGCCAAAUAAUAGAAUCAAAGGGAUAUUUAUGAGUAUAAUUUUAGUAAUGGCUUCCCAUAAGGAGAAUAAGGUUAAGGUUCAGGGAAUUUUAGAGACUGACAUAUCAUUCAUUUGUCAUACACAUAGUUAGGUUUUACAGUUCUAUAAGUACCUCCUGUGCUGUUAGAAUGUCUACUGUCAUCUGAUUUUGGAGGAUGGCCUGUUUUAUUAAUUUUACUUUUUUUUUAUUUAGGAGAGAGUUGAACAGAGUUAUUUAAGGCCUGUUUAGUUAAUUAUGGCCCCAAUAUGCAUCAUACAACCUUUUUCUUGAAAAGAUCUGGUGGAUCUCAGUAAAAGAAAUCUAAAAGGAAUUUAUAAUUCUCUCUUGCUUUUAGUUGUUGAACAUCCAGAAGAAAAGAUUGACAACAAUCCAGUGUAGUAAAUUCAGUAAUCUUAACAUAGAAUAUUAAGUGGAACUAUUAUUUUCUGUUAAUCAUGGGUGUUUUAACAUUUGAAAAAUUUGUGACAAUGUUUGGACUGCUCAAUAUUUAAGCAUCUCUAAGUAUAACUUAUACAUUACAUAAAUUUUUGUUUAAAUAUUAUUUGACUGAUGACCUCAUGUUGGUUUGACUUGAAUCUCUUGGCUGGAGCAUAAGAAAAAGGCAAAUGAUUGGAUCUGAAAAAAAAAUUAUCUUCAUAAACAAUUUCAAUUUUAUAUUUUAAGGCAUGAAUAUACCAUAAGAUCAGCAACAAUGAAUUGUCUUAGCCACAUGAACUUUAGUUGGGGUGUCUCCCAUUAGGUUAUGGAGAUUAUUGGGGCCUCCAAUUAAUGAAUAAGAGCUGGUUAAAGCUACCAGGUGGCCACUUUCUUAUUCAAUCAGUUGAAGUCUUGUCCAAUCUCUCUUCACCUCAAGGGAUUUUGUUUAACCAGUCUUAGCAUCAUUUUGACCUGCUGACAACCUACGUGGAAGGAUGUUUUUUAAAUUUACAACCCAAAUACUACCAAAAAAUGUGAUUCAUUUUAAAUAAUGAGACUAGAGUAGGAAAAGAAGCAUCAAGAAAAAUAGGAAAUCACGGAGUAAUUAGAUUUAUGCUUUCAAAAGUACUGGCUCCAUACCCUCCACUGUACCCUCAAAAAAGGGCAUUUAGAAAUGAGCUUUUCCUAUUGCAUCUGUUUAGUCUUCACCAUUUUCAAAAUCAACAGUGAGUUUCUUCUCACCACCAGCAUGGCAAAUUCCUUUCAGGUAGAGAGAGAUUUCACUUUUCGUUGCCUUGUGUUAUUUCCUCUCUAGCGAACUAUGUAAAGAAAGAUAAAUGGUAAAAUUGCAGUGGAUGAGAUGGGUGCCUUAGACUAUUCACUCCUGAAUGAGAAGAUUGUUUUCUUUUUCUCAGGUGUUUAUAUACUUUUUAAAAAUCUGCUCUAGCAAGAGACUGUACUUGCAUAGUUGUAAUUUUGAAAAACAUAACUUAUGUUCAAAAACCCAUUUUCUACAAAUGGCUGUGUGCACUUACAGUGAUGACCAUAUGAUCACCGUAUAAUUAUAAGCAGGCCUAACAGCUGCAUAAAGGUGAAAGAACUACACCCAAAAAGUUGGGAUACAUGACUUUUGCUCUACUUAUAGUAAUAAUAUAGUAGGUAUUAAUUAUGUUAAAAAUGUUAAUCUUUCUCUUCAAACUCUGUCUUCUCCAUAAAAUAACAUUUUGAAACUAUUCAGAAGUAAACUACUUUGAAACUAUUCACAAGUAAACAGCUCAAAUUUGAACAUGUAAGAUCAGUUAGAAGUAAUAUGAGUCGUUGAAUUUCUGUAUUCAAAUAUAAAUGUUAUAUUAUUUCAAAAUGUAAUAUUGUCUCUUCAAAAGGAUUUUCUGGUAAGUAUUUGAGUGGUAUUAGGAGAGUCAUCUUUACUGACUUCUUAAAAAAAUUGAAGUACUUUGUUGUCUCUUGGAAUGCAUCCAAGAACCAAAUUUAAAUAAUAAAUAUUUCACAACUAAUGGUGUGAUGGGUUACUAUUGUACAUUUAUUUCCCUGAAAACCUGGUCAGUUUUUGUUUUUUGUUUUACUGCCUCUUUAAUCUUAAUGAAAAAUCUUUUCCUUAAAGCUGAGUAAUCCUGCUAUUUUCUCUUUGUAUUUCUAUAUUCUGCUUCUGUGUACCAGAUUUUAACAUAAACUCACAUUUCCUACAUGGGUGUUCAAAGUCAUAUUUUUCCAUAUUGUUAUAGACAUUUUCUUUGGUUAAGGCUUAGAGGAACUACCCAAAUGCCUUUUUUUCCUACAGUAGACUUCACAUUUUAAAAAAUGCUAUAAUGAUGAGAAACUUAAUUUAAUAUCAUUUGCUAUCUUUAAAGUAUUUGGAUACCGAGUAUCUAAAUGCCAAAUUAGAUCAAAGGACUAGAUGAAAUUAAAAGAGUAAUUACUAACAUGGUAUUUUAAAAAACCAUGAGCAACCUCCUUUAUUUUUUCACGAAAAUGCAUUGCAUAUUUAAGAUACAGUUUUUUCACUGUAAUUUUCAGUGUUCUCUGAAACAAAGACUUGAAUGCAUGUGGUAUAAUUAGAAAGUUGUGUCUGUUAAGAGAGAAAACUCUAUAAAGGGAUCAGAUUUAGAAAACUGUUAAAGUAGUGGAAUUAGAAAAGAAGGCAGUGGGGAAGAGCCAUUCAGAAGGCACACUAAUAAACUUCCUACUACGGUAGGCAACUUGGGCUCAGCCCCACUGGAAGGUUUCUGGAAGAUGACAGAGAGUAUGUGUCUAAGUUGCUCCCCCACCCCAAGGGAAAAAGAAACUGGGUUAUUUAUUAACCAUCACCUUUCUGUUAUUGACCAAGGGCUAGUGUUUGACAGUUAAUUCCAAAUAUUUGCUGCCCAAUGCCAUGUGCAAUCCAGACAUGGUUUGGAGCCAGAGAACAUUCUCAGCAAAGACAUAGGUACUUACCACAGGAAGCUGAAAGAAUGAUUGUUGAAGGAAUAUGUAAAGGAACUGACACCAUCUGCUGCUGUAGAUCCCAUCCAGAAACUAUAACACAGGGCGGCAGGUGGCAGGAUCAAAACAUAUAGAAACGUAAGAAGUGUAUAACUAUACAAAUAUCAGAUUUAUAUUUCUUCUUUUUUAGAGCAAUGAUGAGAAUUUACUAUGGAAACACAAAAUGUUGAGUUACAGAGAUGAAACGUACUUGAGAGUUCUUUCUAAAAGCAUUUCAGCCUGCCCUGGGAUCGCUCCCAGCCGAAGCCUCCUCUGGUCCGCUCCCCGCGGCUCCUUCCGUGCUUCGCUCCGAAGCCUCUACCGGUCCGCUCUCCGCGGCUCCUUCCGGGCUUCUUCUGCUUCUUCUGCUUCUUCUUCUUUUCUUGGCAGGAGAGGCACUCACUUUUAUAGGGUUACAGUGGCCAACCAGUUCAAAGCGCGCGAUGCGGGCUGAUUGGCUAACAUCAGUUGUUGCUAGGCAGACUAUCUUACAGGGCGGGUUGUGAAGCAGGAGAUCUUACAGGGUGGGUUGUUUACCAAGCAGGAGAUAAGCGCCAUCUUAGCACACUCGAUGGGAGGGGUAAUCUAGCUCAGGCUUUGCUCUUUCCUACAGGCCUCACGUCCGCCAAGUAAGGCGACCGGGCUCGGCCGUGGCUCCCAACAGGUAGAAAGUGCUAUAGGCACUAUACAGAAACACUUGUUCUAAAACACAAAGUGAAAGAAAAAUUGUAGUUCUUUAUGCCCCACUGUAUUCGUCUCUGUACCCCGAAGAAGCUGGGAAACAUCUAAGCCUAUUCUUUUAUUGUAUCAUUUCUGUGUAGAUCUGUGUCUUCAAAAGUGGCAGAUAACCAUGUUAGAGACAUUCAGAUGGAUAGUUAAGUUUCCACCUAUUGUAUUAAAAUGACUUUGGUUUCUUAUUUGACUAAAUAUGAAAAAGCUGUUGUAUUUCCCAAGAUAUAAGUGAGACAGGAAAUUUUAUUUUAAAACAAUACUGUGAUUUGUGUACUUACUGACAGAAGAUGUUGGCUUAAAGAAAAAAGACGUCAGUCUUAAACUGAAUGCCACUAGACUGUGUUAAACAGGCAAGUCGAUUGUUGAAGAUAUCUUCAUACAUUGAGUGCUCAGGGACUAUUUCAUUAACCUAUGUAUUUUCAAGGUUUAUAAAGUCUUCUGCCCACUGUUCCAUUACCCAGUGAGACUGAGCUGGUUAAAAUCCUUGCAUAGUCUCAACAUCUUAAUCAAAAUGAAAACAACUCAAUCUGUUUGAAGGUAACAGUAUUUUAGAAGAAAAAAAGAUAAUUGAAAAGCUCUGUAUUCAUCUUUCUGUGCCUUAAGACAUUGAUUUUUUCAGAUGUUGUAAUGUAUUAUAUAGAGAAAUUGUCCCAUAGACUUUCAUACAUAUUAGUGACUCCAGUGCCUAGAGCACACGUUGCAAACCAUCCACAUUCAGAUAUUCAGCAUGCCUUGUGGUAUUUGUCUGACCUCAAUCCAUUUUAGAAAUAAAAUAUCCUGUGUGCUAAGGGAACAAGCGAGUUUUACUGGCAUCUCUCUGACUUUCCUACCAUCCCUUCCCCAACCUGUGUGGGGAAGUGAGCAGCAGGCAUCAUUGUCUGUAAUCUACGUGGUGGUAUCCAAGUCUCUGCCUCCAGCUUUAAGGUCCUUGUUUCAGUCUGCUGGCUCUGACAGUAUUAGCCUACCUGUGCCCACGGAGGAAAUGUGAGCUUUGUAUUUAUCAAAUGCUCUAUAGAAAAUGAAUUUGAAAUUAAAAUUGAAUCAGUAUUCAAUAAAGCUGGGUCAAGUCAGACUUAAGUUAUGCACUGUACUUUUCCUGACUUUCAAGGUGGUUGGAGGAGCAGCCAGUAUGAUCAAACAUCUGUCCAGGGUGAAACACAAGUAUUGGGCUGUCCUAUUUCACGUAUCACUUCCUCCCUUUUCCUGUAUUCCCGUAAUCAUAAUUAUAGCUGGCUUAAAGUUAAGUUGUACAGUACAUGGAAUUGUAUUUUGUAUAAUAGCUAAUAAAACUUUUGACUUGUUGCUUCCAUUUUCUACAUUUCUUUCCAUGAUGGGCUGCUUCCUCUAACUCAGUGGUGGCAAACCUAUGACACGCAUGCUGCAGAUGGUACUAGUUAUCAUUAAAAGCUCUAAAAGGUUUACCACCACUGCUCUAAGUCAUGGCAUCAGCCAUGCCUUGCCCUUUGCCAUACUAUCUCCUGCUUCUAAAUUUUAUUGUUUUCAAGAGCUAACUUCUUAUGUUACUGAUAGCUUAAUACUAUAUUAAGUGAAAAAUUUUGGAAUUUGUAGAAAUAUGUGAACCUACCUAUGUGUUCCAUAUCUUAUUUGGCACAUAAAAGAAAUAGGAGUGUUCAGCUUUACAGAAUUUCUGAAUAAGCUUUAUAGACUUUAAUAUAGUCACCCUGAUACCAGGAUGUGAAUAAUUAAUUUUUAAACUGUUGAAAAUAAAAACUCAAUGACCACCUCCCCAAUUCCCUUUUGAUCUGAAAGCUCCUGUUUAAAUAGUAUAUCUUGUUUAAACGUUUAUCUUUAAACAGUAGAUUCUGUUUUUACUCAGUCUAAUACACUCAAGCAGUGUUAGUUUUCAAAUAGUUUACCCUUUGAAUUUUCAUAUGGCUAUACCCUAUGGCUUUAUUUUAUAUAUUUUUUUUCAACAAGCUGUAAACUAAAAUGUUUUGUGAAAGUGGAAAUGCAUUGUAAACUAUGGUUCUGACAUGAGCAGCUUAGUUCCUAGUGAGAUUGUAGAGCAAUUUUCAUGGCUUUUAAGGCAAAGCAGAAACUUGUUGCAGUGACAAAUUAUACCGUGGAGACCUCUUAAACACUUAGCCUUGGUGAACAUUAAACCUGUCUCUUCAACAGGUUUAUUGCAGGAUUAGGUACUUCCUGAAAAAAGAUUCACUCUGCUUUUGGCAUUGAUAUAAAUUUGGCCUCUGCUGGAUUUACAAAGCAGAGGAACUAUGUGGAAGUCACUCAAUUUUCAUGGAAGUUCACUCCAGAAUUUUAGGUGUGUGUUUAUUCAUGUAACAGACAUCACUUUAUUGUACUUUCAAGUUGACCACCAAAGAAAUAGAAAUUCUUACUGAGCUCAGUUAUUCAAAUCCCUCUGGUAAUUCAUGUUCACCUUAAAAUGGUAUUAACUCUUUGUGCUCACCAGAGUUUUGCUGAUUAACAAAGUCAGUGCUGCUAAGACUUGUGAACCAUCUAUUAAGAUCAUUGUUUUUAUUUUUUCUCUUUCAAAUAACAAUAUUCACAUUCACAGUUUAAAUAGGAAUGUAAAAGGUCCAGUCACUUUAGUUCUCAAUAUGCACAUUUUUCAAAAAAGAGCCAUGAUAAUAUUUGAAAUACUUGCUUACUAAAUACAAGUCACAAGGCUCAAUCCCUGGAACCAAGAAAAGAAAAAGAGGUCACAAGGCUAAGUAAUUUUACUGUUUUUCCUUAAGUUUUAAAUAGACAUUUUCCAACUGUGACAUAAAACUAGAUUCUGACGUGCUGCACAGUUGCACUACUUAGCCAUCAUCUGUUCAUUAUUCUGUAAGCUCCUAUUGAACAUGAUACCCAGGCACUGUCCUAGUGUUCAAGGUAACAUAGUGAAGAAAGCUGGCCAAAACUCUUGCCCUUAGGAAUUUAUACACUAGCAUAAAGAAAUAUAUAAAGUAAAUUGAUAAAGUGAUAUGAAGACAAGGCAGAGCAGAGGAGAUAAAGGAGAGUGAAGGCAAGUGCUGCUUCUGUCAGAAAAGUUUCCCUGAUUAGGUGAGAGCGUAAGCUUGAAGGUGAUGGGGAGAAAGAAUGGAGCAUGUCUAUGUGAAAGGUUAGGAGGAUGAGUCAUUUGUUGAUGUAACAGUGAAGAGUGUGUGGUGGCGUGGAGUAGGAUAUGAAGGUACACAUGUUACCCCAGAGGAAGUGAAGAGAUUCCUGGAAAGGAGGGCCCAACAAGAUUUUGCUAAUAGAUCAGAUAUGAAUAUGAGAGCAAAGAACAUUGUAGUCCUGAAUAUUUGUUAGGUAAUCAAAACAAGAACCUCUAUUUAGUUGGGACCCAUGCCAUUUUUUUUUCCUGGAUUUGGUGAAAAUGUAUUUCUUUGUCUAUAAAAAGAACAACAUGACAUAACUACUGUUUAUUGGAAUAUCAACAAAGUUUUACUGUACUGUAACAUUCAGAAAUGCUGCGUUACCAAAUGUUAAUGAAAAUUAGGUUUUCAAGUACCUGGUUCUAUAACAAAAACCCUCCCCUGAAGUGCAGUUCACAUAUAAUGAAAGUAGAGAGAGUGUAAAGUUUGAAAGCUAAGUAGAACAAAAACAAUACUUUAUCGGUGACUUCUUUGGAUCAUGAGACAAAACCCGGAGAAAGGCUAUAAAUAAAGACUGGUUAAUACCAUUAUUCAGCACCACAAGGCACUUACAAUCCAAAGGAAUAUGACAUUUUGUCUUUGAGAAGGACCUUAAAAUCUCUUGAAAGCACUUUGCUUUCUAUAACUCAGUGAGCAAUGGGGAUAUAAUUUAUGGAGAUUUGUCACUACUGUAACUAUUUACAAUAAUCGAAAUAUUAAACAUAGAUAAUAGAUAGCUGUCUGCAUGUUUUAUAUGUAAAUAGACCAUAGGUGUGUGUGUAAGUUUAUUCAUACUUUGUCCCAAAUUUAAGUUGUUAUGAUUAAUAAGAGCAAUAGUAAAGUAAGUGUAUGCAAACUAAUGAAGGUUUUUGUACUCAGAAACUUUAAUUAGUACUCAAAUUAAUGUUAUCAGUCAAGAGUCCUUCAAAAAUUGGGGCUGGGGGUUUAGCUCAGCGGCAUAAGCACCUGCCUUGCAAGCAGGCAGUCGUCAGUUCGAUCCCCGGUACCGAUAAAAAUGAAAAAAGACCAAAAAAAAAAAAAAAAUGUUAAAAAAAAGAGUCCUUCAAAAAUCUCCAUAUUAAACAGUAGAAUCCAGCUGCUUUUCUAGAUACUACAGAAGUGACAAUCCAGGUUGUAAACACAUGCUUGGCUAUGUGACAGCUGUCCAACAAAAUUUGAAAGCAACUUUGUGAAGACUCUUAAUCGGGUCUCACUUUGUUACCCAUAACCCUCACCCACCAAGGAGACAGGACCCUCUUCCAUAUGUGUGCUGCCAAAGCAAGCUUAGUAAGCCCCUCUUAAGAGCAAGUUGCCAUCACACCAGCUGUUUCCCUGCAAUGGCACUGAGGGAGGAGUAUGCAUUCCUGACGGUCAGUGAAUCUGCCUGCACUUUUACUGACAGGCUUCUUCAGCACAGAGGAAGGGGACACUGAACUAGCAGACCACAGUGAGCAAAACAGAAGAUCUUUAUUAAGGAUUGUGUACUUAUGUUCUUAGAAUCCAGGGCCUAAUAAAAAUAGAAAUUUAAACCAUUUUUCCUUUAUAUAGUCAUGUAUUUUCCUUCACAUAUUUAAACCAUAUUCCCUUCAAUAUAUUCAUUUAUAUAUUUAUUCAUAUAUUCAAAUAUACUUGUUUCUGAUAUGUUAUUGUGACACUUUAUUGUUGCUGCACUCAUGUAAGUUCUCAUGUAAGUUAUUCCUUCGAAUCCUAGUUCUAAGCUUCUUUAACUCAUUUUGGAAUAAGCCAAAAAGAAACAAAAUCAUAAAUUGUAAAUUGAGUACUAAAACAGAACAUCAUUGAUUAAAUACGAAAGGAAGCAUCUUUAGCAAAAUGAAAUCCAAGCUUUUAAAUCUGCAUUGAACAUUGGUUAAUCUUAAACUGUCUUGGCACUAGUUUCUUCAUAAGAUUUUGCAUAUCAGGUGUUUACAGACUAAAUAGUAGAUGAGCUCCAAGAACACUGUGUCAUUUAAUGUCAGUGAGCUAACUCUGUUUAUUUGGCUGUAUGCUUAGCAAUUGAAAUCAUCUGCAUAAAAGUGCUCAGUAUGUUACAAUUAAGAAGCAUACUUGUGGAAGACACAAGUUCGUUUUUUAAAAAGACCAUCUGUUUUUUAGUAUGCUACUUGUGCAGGUUUUCCUUUCAUCUUUCACCUUCUUUAAGAAAAAAAAAAAAUCCACAGCUUUCUAAAGCUUUGUUUCAUUCUUAGGUUUUACAGACUGCUCAUUUCUCUGGAUUUCUAGCUGUGGUUUUACCAGUGUCCUCACAAGAUGAUUUUAAACCCUCAGUAAUCUUAGAAUGGAAAAAUAGGGACAUCUUUUCCCAUCUCAUAUUUGUUCUCUUUCAGCAAGCUGAUAAUUGCUUUCAGCAACCAGUCAUAAUAGUGGAAGUAGUGAUGUUGAUAAUAAUAUAUUAAUAUUUGCAAGUUAACAGGAUGAAAUAAAUUCAAAUUUUAUAAAAUGAACAUUUACUAAUUUCUUUGAAGAGUCCCUAGGAAAGGAUAGAAAUGCUCUGACACACUAUGCAAUAGGAAAUUCUAAAUAGGAUUCUGACCCCAAAAUUUGCUGCAUCUAUGUCUUAAUGACAUAUUUUUGCUCAUAAUGAAAUACUAAAUAUUUAAUAUAUAAUACUGAGAAAAGUUUGACAUUCUGAAGUAUUUUUAAUUCAGAAAAUAAACUUCUUUAACCAUGUAUGUUUUAGGUACUUUCUCAUUCAACCUAGUCUAAAGGGGAAAUUUUUCCACAUUGUGGAAGAUCAACAAGAUAAAGAAAAAAGUAAAAUAUUUUGAAUUAAAUAGCACAUUUUAUGCCCAGGAGCCAAAAGAAAUGGGAUUGCUUAUUUAAGAAGUUUAUUUUCUUAUAUAAGAAAGAAUAAAGAUGUUUGUAUAACCUGGGCUUGAAUAAAAAUAGCACAUUUUAGUCCUGAUUUCAUUUAAAAUGAUUAAACAUAAUGCCCAUUUAUUGUUGAAUUUCCUAGAGGAAAGAAUGCCCUGUUAGAAACUAUAUAUUGCCAAAUCUGUUUGGUGUGAUUUUUAUCUCAUGAAAUUACAUUUAAAAAGUAAGUAGGAGGUGAUGCAGCUUAGGGAAAUUACAGUAUCAGAAAAGAGAUUGGAGUGAUCCCACCCCAUUUAAGGAGCUCACCUGGCAGUGCAUAUGGUAUGGUUCUUAGAGGGAUUUCAGUCUCAAUUCAGUCUUCCCACAGUUGGUUGUAAAUUUUGUUUUAGACUUUAAAAACAUGGCCUUAAAACAUGUCUAGGUGGCCUUACACUUAUUAAAAACUUGUGAAAAUAAAAGAUUGCUUAUUAUAGUCCCAAAUCCCCUAGUCUUUAUUGAAUAAAUAUGGACAUAACACCGGGAUCUGGGCUUUGUGUUUACUGCACCACUACCCAGUGUGGCUUAGGCAAGGUCUGCAUCACACAUAAGAUCUUUAAAGAGCCAGUUUAAGCUCUUACUAGGCUGCCUCAUCUAUUGUCUGGAGCAAGUAAAAUAUUAAAUGAGCCGUUAUAUAGUGAGAGAAAAUACUGGCAUAAAGUUGUGGUACCUACUGGUGAGAGAAAAGAUGUAGUACCAAGUGAAACCGAGGGUUGUUUCUUUGUCUGUGGGCAAAUGAGUAAAGAUCUUUGAACCAAUAGAUGUCAGCCUGAUUGAACACAGACAUGCUAGGGAGACAGCAAUAACAUUGAAAUGUUUGGAUAGUCAAGUUUAGAUUAAGGUAUUUUGUUCUAGCAGCUGAACAAGGCAGCAGACAAGGCCAGAAUACACACAAGUCUCCUGUUUAUUGAUUUAUUAUAAGUGCCAAAAUUGCUUUUAUUUUGACAUGCAGAAAGGUGCAUUCAGGUUCUAAAAUUGUAUGUCCCAGAACUAGGUUACAUAAGAACAAUGUGGCUCACUGUGAGUUUUCUUAGAAGGUGAGGGGAGGGGGAAAAAAAUCUCAUUACUAUUGUAGGUUCUUGAAGAUUUUUGUAUAUUUUUUACAGACUACUGGUAGAAAUUUUUCUUCAUGUGUAAACAAUAAGCCAUUCCCCUACCUCAGCUACCCAGUCUGGGAAAAUAUUCUUAUGAAAUAGCAAUCCUCUAAAACACCAAAGGCAUAUUAACUAGGGUUUUUUUAUUGUUGGCACUGAAUAUAAAUCAACAUUAAAUCUGAGACCAUUUUUAGUGUCAGAUUCCCAAAUCUAAAAUAGAGUAUACAAAUAAAAAAAAAAUUGGCAAAAAUGUUUUACUUAUGUUUUAUGCAUCUUGUAAUGGUUGAGAUUCCUCAUUUAGAAUUCAAACAUCCCCCUUCAGAGUCCAUAUGGAAUAAAUUUUAGGGACUGCCAAAAAUAAUGAAGAGAUGCUUUGGCCUAAGAAAAUAAUAUAGUUUUAAAUUUUCAGUUAUAGUAAGCAACUAGUUUUUCUCUAUACAGAAGGACACUUAUUGUCCUAUCCAUCAAAGACUAAAACAUGGUUCAGUAUUUCAUCCAUAUUUGUUUUUAAAACCAUUAGGUAAAGGAAGUUGUGUCUGUUUGGAAUCUUUUGAUUUCAUUUAAUAAAAGGGAAAAAAGAAAAAGAAAAUGGGGAGUGAGGGAUUUGACUGGCUCUUGAGUCAGAAAGGCAGUUCUAAUUGUGUGAGAAGCCCAGACUAGCCGUCUGUUCUUGCAGUCCUUUCUACCUUGCCUUACUCAGUACAGUAGUGUCAUCUUUAGAUGGACUGUAUGGCAGCAGAAAUGGCUAUGAGACUUUUAGAUUUAAUACCUCAUAAAUAGUAUGCUGAGGUAAAAAAAAAAAAAUGUGUGUCCUAGCAAAAUCUUGGGCCUUACUCUGGUGGCCGUGGUUUGAGGCAGAAGGCCUGCUCAUUACAUUGGCAGGGUGGGAUGACACAUGGGUGUGUUUACACCAACCAGGGCCUCCCUUCAGAUGCGAGGAUCCCACCUAAGUACAGCUGAGAAUUUGGCAGUAACUUGAUUCUUGAAAGAAAAGCAGGGGUUUGGGGGUUUGUUUUGUUUUGAUUUGUUUUGUUGACAAAGGAAAAAAUGGGAAAAAUUUGGGAACUGCCAACAAAAAUCCCUUGCACCUGCCUAACUGUAGUCUUGGGGGAAGUUUAUCUUACCAUAAUUUCCUUCACCCUCCAGCAAUGAGAAUUUAUCAACCCAUUAUUUGGCGAAUACAUGGUCUAAAGGAGUACUUUAUUCAGCAGAUACAACAGGAGCCAACCCCCAUGAUUCUUAUAACUCAUGCAUCCAUUUAAAUUGAUUCUACUCUGGUUUGAAACACCACUCUGGUUUCGAUAAACUACUUGUGGAGUUUUAAGAAAAGCUAGAUUUGACAGAAAGUAUAUUACAGUUUUACCUUUAGUUUUUCUACACAAUGUAUAAUGAAGUAUUGUGGAACUAAGCUUUCCUAUAAUAAACUCAUGGUUGCACUUCAGUUAUGGUGUAAUGUAGAGCACUCAUUGCACCGAAAAAUAACAAAAAAACAAAAAACAACUUAAUAAAAUCUAAAGUCUCUUAUUUUUUUCCUACUUCUCUAGAUAUAAUCAUUUAUCUGGCACAUGUAAUUGAGCUUUUUAAAAACAAUUGUAAAAUUGUCCUGUUUUCAUCCUAAUUUGUAGUUUCUUUCCACCCACAGCUGAUCCUGUUUGCAUAAUGAUCAGUGACACUAUUGCCCUUAGCAAAGAGCAUCCCGCCUGUGUUGUUUAUGAAGCUAAGUACACAAUGCUAUACACAAAGCUAAGAAUACAAGGCACAGAGGGGAAAAUCUAAGGAUAAGAAUGUAUCCAGGAUACAGUGCAGUCCACACUUAAUGAACUGCUUCACUUAAGAUUUAAAUGUUUUCUUAUCUAACUGGUGCUUUAAGCCAUUUGUACCUAACUAGAUACAAAAACUCUAAACCUAACUAGUGCUCCCUGAAAAUAGGAGAAUCUAAAACGUGACACUGUCAUCAUCACCAUGAUUAUUACUUUUGUUGGUGUCACCAGUCUCUUUGUGGUUCUUUCCUUCACUAUUUUGCUCCCAUACCAUAAGAAAAUAUUAUUUCUCUUAUUCCAACUGUCUUUAGAUAGCUUAUCUCACUUUUUUUCAGUCUGAAUCCAAGUUUUAAUCCAACAUGUCUAUAUUUUGCCUACUCAAAUGUUCACUAAGGAGACAAAACCAAUCUCUGUUCAACUUGUCAGUACCAUAAUGCUACCUUUUUUUUAAUCCUGGCUGUUUUCUUGAAGGUAAGUAACACAGUCCACACAGACUUCUUUAACUCCUGUUUGCCCCAUGUACACACACACACACACACACACACACACACACACACAACCUCCUCCUCCAGUCUGAGUAUUUAUUGUAAGCCUAUUGGGUGAAAAAACUAAUCACUGUUAAGAUAUGAGAUAGAUAAAAUAUGAUGUCUACUUUUAAUUAUAAUCUUAUGUUAGCUUAUCAUAUAAUGAAGCUAGUUCCUCUCAAUAAGUCCCCUACAUCCACCUGAAAGAAUUUGAGUCCUCUAUAUACCACUUCUUUAUAACAUUUGACUUUUUAACCAAAUGCAGAAAUACCUGGGAGAGCUUUUAGAAUUUGAAACCAACUCAUUCACCAAUGCCAAAUUGUGUAUUGUCUUUAUCAUUGUACAGUAUUUUACUUGCAUUGAUAAUGCAUGUAUAAUUUGUUCUUUAAAAUACAUAUACAGUGGUACUUUAGUUUAGAAACUUAAUUUGUUUUACAGUUUUAGGGAAGAUAGCCACAUUUGUAUUUGCGUGGGAAAGAAGACCGUGGUAGUAUUUGUAACUUAAUGCAGAAUUUGCAAAUGGAAGCAAAAUGUCGUUGAAUGCUUUUGUUUCAGAACCAAACUUUUUGCCAACUGAAAUGUUUAUGGACUGAAGUUAUCUUAUGCAAAUAGACACAGUGUAAAUAUGUUUUUAGCAACAUAUUUUCACUGAACAAUAAAAUGUCAUUGAAAGGACAUUUCUAAUGGAACAGAACAGCAUUUUAAUUUUUGUUUUUUUAUGAAAUUAUAAUUUUCAUUUCUGUGAUUACUAGGAAGGUUGAAUUUUUAGCGUAUUUAUUAGCUAAUUUUAUUUCUUAAAUUGUAGACAUUGCUCAUCUUUCUACUUUAGUAGGCUUUUGGUAAAUAAGUAUUCUUGACACUAUUUUGUUAUGUGAUAUAAAUAUUUCCUCUCAUUAUACUGCUUAAUUUUACUUUGGCUUAUAAUGUCUUUGUUUUUAGAAACAAUAAUUUUGCAGGUCCACAUUUAUCAAUCUAUUCCUUGAUGUGUUUCUGAACUUGAGAAUUUGGAUUUGAAUCCCUCUCUGCCGUUUACUUACUCUGAGACCUUGGGCAGUUUACAUAACCUCUCGAAACUCAUAUCCUCAGCUGUUAAAUGAGAAUCAUAACAGUGUCUGCCUCAUAGGUUGCUGGAAGGAGCUGGAUUUAAAUACCUAUAAAACACCAACCAUUGAGUGAACACCAUCAAGUGAUUUCUAUUAUUAAGUAAGCCUUCUGCAACUCAUAGUCAGCAUGAUACUCUUAUGUACUAUCAUAAUCAUUUUAUUUUAAAAUUUGAGUCUUAAUCCCACUUGGAAUUUAUUUGAUAUGUAAUAUUUGUAUGUGAGAUCUAUAUAGUUUAAUGUAAGAUCAUGAACUGUUUCUACAUCAUUUAUCAAUAUAUUUUCUCCCUUGAUUUGAUACAGCAUUUCUCUCAUCGAUAAUUUUUCAUGUCACCAUGAACCUGUUUUUAGCAUCUUUUCUGCCCAGUUGUCUAUUUUGUCACUAAUAUUAUAUGGUUUUAAUCAUUGUAAAUUUGUGUUUUUAUAGGUUAUCUGUAAGAUUCAUCCCUUCCUCCUUUUCCAGAAUUAUCUUAUUCUUUAUCUUUUUCUUUCAUUAUAUUUUCUCUAUUAAAUGACAGUUGCUUAAAUUUCAUUUAAAAAUUAUGUUGAUAUUUUGGGGGGAUCACACUGAAUAUGUAGUUUUUUUUUUUAAAGAUCACAUUUGUAGCCCUGAAUUUUCUCAUCAAUGAAUUGGAUAGAAUUUUCUGUUUUGAAUCUUUUAUGUUCUUUUAAUAAGUUUUUAUAAUUUUCCCAUGAAGCUGUUUAAUGUUUUGUUAAAUCUGUUCCUGUAUAGCAUAUACUUGGGAUACUUGUCAGUGGGAUCCUUUUUCCCUUAUUUAUUUAGACUUGUUUUUUGCUACUGUAUUGGAAUGCAGUUGGUUUUAUGUGUCUUGUAAUUAGCUAACUUUCUAAACUUUGUCACUUUCUUAUUGUUGGGACUCAAUACUGAACACCAGCAAAAUAAUGAAAGAGAUUUAUUUUAGCUCAUAAUUUUAGUCCAUAGUGGGCCAGUUCCAAGGCAGGAAGUCAUUGUAAAAGGGCUUUGGUAGAGAAAAGGUGCUCACAUUCAUGACAACCAAGAAGCAGAGGGUGAAGGGAGAAAGCAAAGAGCAAAAUUCACCUGACCAGGUCGAGGGCCCAGCAACCUAGCUCCUCAGGUGUAUGUCCCUUCUUCGGGUUUCGCUUUGACCGACCUCCUGCUGUCUUAUUUAGCUGUGACACCUCCACAGGCCAGUCACCUUCCAUAAAACCCACCUCUGAGCACAUGGUGCUCUCGGGGGACAUCUGGAUGUGAACCAAAACACUUUCCUAGUAUUCUUUUGUUUUUCAAUUUUUAUUUUUUAUUAGUACAUGUUCAUAAUACGUAGUGACCACAUUUUGUAGGGAGUUGGUUACAUGCAUCUAACACACCUUAAUUCUUGUUUCAUGCCCUUUCCCUAGCCUUCCUCCCCUUGCCUCCAUCUCUCAGUUCCCUUCCCUUUUGCAAAAGGUCUGCCUCCUUAUUUCUUAGUAUCUUAGUAGUUUGUCAGUUUGAGUCUCUUUAUUUUUUAAAAAGCAGUUAAUAUCUUUUGAGAAUUCUGAUCAUUUUGUCUCCUUCCAAUUUUUAUAUCAUUUUCUUCCUCUUGCUUUAUUGAAAUCAUCUAAGGCCAUCUAAGGUUUACUGGGGUGAGUAAACCAGGUACUGCAAGUGUCCGAGACAUCUCUAGCUUAUUUCUGGUUUUAAUGAACACUUACACAGUUGUACCAACAGAUUUAAUAUUUGCUGUAGGUUUGCAGUAGAUAUUUCAGUAGGCCUCUCUUUAUUACACCAUGCUCUUACAUUUCAGGAUUCUGUAGACUUAAUAAAUUACCUUUUUAAAAAUCUUUUUAUUUUGUAUAAUAAAUUAACAGGAGAAUAACAAUAGUCAAUACAUAAAAUAUUGUUAUAUUUAAAGAAGUUGAUGAGGGUACAAAAUGUGGGUAUAAAAAGUUCUCCAAUUGGUAUUAAUACAAAACUUCCUUUUUAAUGAACUAAGAGAUACUAAUAGUAUAGCUUACUUGUGUUUUUUCUUUUCCUUACUGUCCUUUUCCCUUUCAUCCAUCCUAGUUCUUUUUUCCUUUGAAUAAUUUUUUUUCCUAUUUCACAAUAUCUAUUGUACAUUUCAGAAUUUAUUUACUAUUUCAGUUUCUCACACCAAGGAGCUAAUAUGAUGUUUACACAUGUAAGUCUGCUUUUUACUUAUGAGUAUGAUCUCAUUACAUACAUUUACAUAUUAAAGUCUCAAGUUUAUCCUUCUUUAUGAUUGAGUAGUAUUCCAUUGUGUAAAAAAUACUACCUUUUUAUCCAUUCCUCAGUUGAUGGGCAUUUGGUUGUUUCCAAGAUUUAGCUAUUAUAAAUCAUGCUGCUAUAAACAUGGAUGCGCUUAAAUCUCUGUGGUAUUAUGUUUAAUUUCUUCUGGGAACAUCCUCAGAAGGAGAAUAGCUAGGUCAAAUGGGACCUCUAGUCCUAGUUUGUUGUUGUUGUUUUGUUUUGUUUUUUGAGGAAUCCCACACUGAUUUCCAGAGUAGUUACACACUCUACACUCCCACCAAUAGUGAAGAAGGGUUUCUUUUUCCCUGCAGCCCCUCCAACACUUGUUACUGGUUGAUUUCUUGGUGAUAGCCAUUCUUUCUGGGGUGAGAUGGAAUCUCAGUGUUGCUUUAAUUUGCAUCUGUCGAAUGACCAAUGAGGUUGAACAUUUUUUCAUAUAUUUACUUGCCAUUUGUAUUUCGUCUGUAAAGCAUGUAUUCUUCUCAAAUGCCCAUUUUUGGAUUGAGUCUUAGAAUUUGGGAGAAAGGUCUGAUUUUUUUCAAAUCUUUACCUUUAAUUUUUUUUUUUGUUUGUUUGUUUGUUUUUUUUUUUUGUACUGGGGAUCAAACUCACAAUCUUUCACUUGCCAGGGCAGACACUUAUGCUGCUAAGCUAAACUCCUGGCCCUAUGUGUUCCAGAUAGUAGUUCUUUGAGGAACAAUUGGCUAGAAAUUUUUCCCACUCUGUGAGUUAUCUAUUCAUUUUGUUGUUGAUUUCUUUAGCUAUACAAAAGCUUUUUAAUAAGAUGAGAUCCCAGUUGGUGAUUCUUUGAAGUAUUUUCCUGUGCAGUCUGAUUUUGUUCAUGAGCUCUACCUAUUCCUUUGUCUUCAAAAUUUUUACCAACUUUCUCUUCUAUUUUGAUAUUUAGAUGUUUGCUCCAUUUUGACUAAUUUAGUGCAUGGUGCUAGGCAUGGGUCUAAUUUUAGGCUUUGGCCUAUAGAGAGCAAGUUUUUCCAGCACCAUUUAUUAAAGAGGCUUGCCUUUCAUCCAGUGAAGUGUUGACCUCUUUGUCAAAGAUAAGGUGGCUGAGUAUAUUUGUAGUUGUGUCUGCAUUUUCUAGUGUGUUCUACUGAUCCUUAGGUUUGUUUUUGUUUGUUUGUUUUUGGUUGGUUGGUUUGUUUGUUGUUUUGCCAGUACAAGGCUGAUUUUAUCAAAGUAGCUUUGUGGUAUAAUUUCAAGCUAGGGAUUGUGAUGCCUCCUGCCUACCAUUGUUGCCUAGGAUUGCCUUUGCUUCUAGGUCCCUUGUGCUUCCAGAUGAAUUUUAGGAAUUUGUUCUCUAGUUCUGUGAAGUAUGCUAAUGGUGUUUUGAUCAGGAUUGAAUUAAAUCUGUUGAACAAUUACAGGAGUAUGGCCAUUUUCACUAUGUUGAUUCUUCCUAUCCAUAAGUAGGGGCUAUCUUUCCAUUUUAUAUAUCUUCAAUCUCCUUUUUUUCAGAGUACUGUAAUUUUCAACAUAUAGAUCCUUUACUUCCUUUGUUAGAUUGAUUCCUAAGUUUGUGGUUUGUGGUGUUUUUUUUUUUUGUAUGCUAUUAUGAAGGGUAUUAUUUUCCUAUUUUCUCUUUCAAUGAGUUUGUUGUUUGUGUACAAGAAUGAUGUUGAUUUUUGAUAGAGUUUUGGGAGUCUUUUAUGUAGCAUAUCAUGUCAUCUGCAAAUAAUGAUAAUUUAACCUCUUAUCUUCCUAUCCUUAUUCCUUUUAUUUCUCUCUCUUGUCUAAUUGCUCUGGCUAAUGUUUCCAAUGCUAAAUUGAAUAGGAGAUGUGAUAGUGGACAUCCUUUUCUUAUUUCUGAUUUUAGAGCGAAAGUUUUCAGUUUUUGUCCAUUUAGUAUGAUGUUGGCUGUUGGUUUGUUGUAGAUGGCUUCUAUCAGAUUGAGAUAAAGACCAUGUAUUAUGAUUUUCUGUAGGUUUUUUUUUAUCAUGAGUAAGUAUUGGACUUUGUGAAAACCUUUUUCUGGAUCUAUUGAGAUGAUCAUGUGGUUUUUGUCUUUGGCUCUGUUGAUAUGAUGUACAACAUUUAUUGGUUUGAGGUUUGGUUUUUUUUUUUUUUUGAUUUGUUUUUAUUAGGGAUCAAACGCACAAUCUUGUGCUUGCCAGGCAGGCACUUAUACCACUAAGGUAAAUCCCUGGCCAACAUUUACUGGUUUGUAGAUAUUGAUUUAUUGGUUUGUGUCUCCAUUCCUUGGAUGAAUCCCACUUGAUCAUGAUGUAUAAUCUUCUUGAUCAUUUGCUGCAUUCUGUUUGCUAGUAUCUUAUGGAAGAGUUUUACAUCUGUGUUCAUUAGGAAGAUUGACCUAUAGUUGUCUUUUUGGUUGGAUCUUUCUUUGGUUUUGGUAUCAGAGUAAUACUUGUCUCCAGGAAUGAAAUCAGGAGUACUACCUCCCUUUCAGUUUCAUUAAAGAGUUUGAAGAGUAUUGGUAUUAAAUCUUCUCUGAAUUUCUUGUAGAAUUCAGCCAUGAAUCCAUCAGGACCUGGGCUUUUCUUUGUUGGUAAGUUUUUAAUUACAUUUUCAAUUUCAUUGACUUAUACUGGGUUAUUCAGAAUUUUUUUUAGCUUCUUGAUUCAGCUUUGGUAAUUCAUACAUAUCUAGGAAUCUGUCCAUUUCUUCUGUGUUUUCCGUCCUAUGAGGUUUUCAAAGGAGGUAUUGAUAAUCUUCUGAAUUUCCAUAGGAUAUAUAGUGAUUUUAUACUUUCAUCCUCAUUGCAUGAAUUUGAAUCUCUUCCCUUUUUUAUAAGAUUGUCUAAGGGUUUAUUAAUUUUAUUCUAAGAAUCAACUCCUUAAUUCUUUUCUUACAUUCAAUUGCAUUAAUUUCAGUUCUGAUCUUUGUAAUUUCCUCCCUUCUCUGGGCUUUGGGCUUGACUUCUUCUGUAGCUUGAGGUGUAAAUUAGAUUGUUUAUUUGUGUUCAUUCUGUCCUGACAUAACAGUUCACCACUAUAAAUUUCUCUCUUAGUACUACUUUCAUUGUGUCCUACAGGUUCCAUUGUAUUAUGUCUGCAUUUUCAUUUAAUUGUAGAUAUUGUUUAAUUUCUUCUUUAAUUUCUCUGUGACCCAUUAGUUAUUCAGAAGGCUAUUUUAAUUUCCACGUGUUUAUGGAGUUUUAUGGUUUUUUUUGCUAUUAAUUUCCAGUUUCGUUGCACUAUGCUCAGAUAGUAAAUAUGGAAUAAUUUCAGUUCUUUUGCAUUUACUUAAGCAUCUUCUAUCAGCUAGUAUAAGGUCUGUUUUAGGGAACAACCCAUGCACAGCUGAGAAGAAUGCAUAUUCUGAUGUUGUUGGGUGGAAUAUUCUGUUAACAUGUACUAAGUCCGUUUGUUCACAGGUUUGGUUCAGUUCUGUUACUUCUUUUCUGAUUUUUUUGUCUGGUUGAUCCAUCCAUUUAUGACAAUGGGAUAGUAACAUCUACCAUUACAAUUGUAUUAUUGCUCAUUUGAUUUUUCAUGUCUGUUGAUAUUUGUCUUAUAUAGUUGGGUACUACCAUAUUUGAUGCUUCCAUAGUUAUGAUUAUUAUCUCUUCUCAAAGGUUUUCCCUAACCUGUAUGACAUUCUUUAUCUCUUUUGGUCAUUCUUUGUUUGAAGUUCACAUUGUCUGCAAACAUAAUAGCUACCCUGCUUUUUUCUAGGUUCCUGUUGCAUGGAGUAUUGUUUUGAUGUUUAGUCUAUGAGUUUCUUUUUGAGUUAAAUGUGUUUCUUAUGUACAGCAUAUUGUUUCAUCUUGUUUCUUGAUCCAUCUGCCAACCCAUUUCUUUUGAUUGGAGUGUUGGGGCUAUUUAUACUGAUGGUUAUAACUGAUAUGUGUUAGCAUAUCUUUGUUGUGUUAUUUUUCUGUUGUUGGUUCCCUACUUUUCUCUUCUGUUUAAUUGCUUGCCCUGCCUGAUGGUUUCUUUCUGUUGUUAUUCUUGGAAUUGUUGUCAUUUUUAUCUCUAGAAUAUCUUUCAGUACCCUUUGUAUAGUGUUGGAGGUCAUGAAUAUCUUCAGUUGUUCUUUGUCAUGGAAAUAUUGUCUUUUUCCACUAAUUUUGAAAGAUAGUUUUUCAGGAUACAUCAAUCUGGUUUGGAAGUUGUUUUCUUUCAGGUUUUGAAAUACUUCAAAUUUGCUCUUGAUUUGAGGCUUUGUGUCAAAAAUUUGCCUUGAUUCUGAUAGGCUUUUCUUAUAGGUGAUCUGUUUCCUCUCUGUAACAGCCUUUAAUAUUCUAUUCUUAUGCUGAAUUUCUGAGAUCUUGUUUAUUAUAUGUCUGGGUGAAGAUUUAUUUUGUAAACCAAUUACUUCUAAAAGUUUCUGUCAGUCUUCUGUAUUUGUAAAGUAGAAGUUCUAGUAUAUGUAUAAUUUGUCAUUGGUUAAAUUUUUAUGAGUGUAGGAUUUUAAAUUUACUGCUUUUGUUUCUUAGUUUUCAACAUUACUGGAUCCAAUUCUAUUAUUUCUUUUUUUCCUUUUUAAUAUAUUCUUUCCUUGUAUAUUUUGUCAUUUAAUCCCCUGUCACCAGGCCCUCAUUUAUUCUGGAUAACUAUCUUCCUGCAGCAUGCAUUCUACACUGCAAACAAAUGGCAGUGGAGAUUCUAAGCUGCAUUUAUUUGAGUGACUUACUGUGAGGUCAUUUUAGUUCAGUGUGCUGUGUAGCUUUCCAAGAAUAAUUUAAUGACAUUUCUGCAGAAGCUGGAUUCUUAGGCAAAAACCAUUGAAUAUCAUAUAUAUUAAACUUUUAGCAGCAACAGUAGUAAAGGAAUAUAAACAUACUUGUUUACCUUCUUCAGGAUUGAUGUUUAUUCCAGAAAUGUUUACACAUCCUCAGAGGUAAAAGAUAGCUCUGUCAUGGUCCCAGGGCCUCAGGAAUGAGGCCUGACAAAUUCUCAACAAGAUUCUUUGGGAGAAGCUGUGUUAGCGUUGGUUAACCUUAACAGCUUUCUGUUUUCUGUACUCAACCUUUCCUGUUUUUAGUUUAUUUUUGGAGCCUCAGAAUUCAGUGGUUGAGGCUCUGAAAAGCCUCUAAAGGAGAUGCUGCUAUUUGCGUUAUGAGUUCUUGAAAAUUCCCUCAGGUGGAAAGUCCUUAAUUAGUGAGAAAAGUACAUUUUGCUACGUAAGUUUAUGAUGUAGGGUGUACUGGAGAAAUGUCUUAGUUCACAGAAAACUGUUUCAAAGGCCCCUGGAACUAAUAGCUAUUCUUUGCAUUUCCAUCGUUCCUAUUGUUGCUUAAGGAUUUUGAAGACAAUUUCAUUCAGCUACUUUCCUAAAGUUCCUUGUGCUCAUUAGCCAAGGCAGCUAAUUAGGGUUUGAAACUCUGUUAGUCUAAAGAAUACACAAGUCACAUGCAGCUAUUGAGCAAUCAACAUUGUUCAGAUACAGUAGGUAUCAUUAUAUGAAGCUAAUUUGACAGUCUUGAAGCUCUGUGCCCAAAUUGUGGUUUUUCCCAUGGAAACUUAGUUCAAUUGUUCUUUCUGAAGUACUGAGGACCUACUUAAAGGAGUUAAUAAUGAGUCUUCUAAAUGUUUUGAUGGAAAUAUUCCAUUUAUUGUGUUUUUGUUCAAUCUAUGUUGAUUGUUACAGAAUUCUGUUUAACUUGUUCAUUUUACCUAGAUUCUCAAUAGAGAUUGCUCUAAACAUCAAUUCAUGUUAAUUUAAGUCCAAAAGUGAGAUUUUUACAGGUUUAGUUAUUCUCCUAGUUAAGAUUGGGGCAGAAUCUGUCCCAGUGGUCACUUGCUGUGCUGUAUUUCGGCAUAGCAAAAAAAAAGCCGUGUCAGAAGAUCACUGUCCCAGACCCACAAGUAUAAAACUGUUGAGGCAUUGAACACAGUUCAACUUCCUAGACAGGCAUUUGACAGCUUUCUUAGAGACCCCACCUGCAUUUUUUUCCUGAUGCCUCCUGUCUCUCUCCACAGAUUUAUAUGCUCCCUUCUAAGCUCAUUGAGCUCUUUACCAAGCAUAUCCCCCACCCGCCUGGGGCCUUUGCCACUUGUGUCCUCUCCUCACUGCAAGCCUCCUGUGCCUCACGGCCAGAUCACAGACUACUACUCCCAAGUUUUCAACUAUUCCAGCACACACAAGCUUCUUCCUGUGAGGUUUCUCCACUUCGUGUGGAAUUUCAAUCCAUAGCUGUUUCCAGAAAAAUAAUUUUAAGUGGAUUUUUCGGAAUACCUCUGUUUUAAUACAUAGACUCAAGAAUUCUUUUCAAUUUGAAUAUAUGGACUUUUUUAUACUCUUAAAAGGAUAUGCUUUUAUGUUUCCCUUUCAGCCCUUUCAUUCUGAUGCCCAAGUAUUUUACCUGGCACCUAGUGGAUAUUUAUACUUAUUUGUUGCACAAAUAAAUGGAGUUCUCUGCAUGUGGGAGAAAAUACUUGAAUUUUGAAAUACAUGAGAAUAAGUUCUUAGCAUAUUGCCAAGUGGACUCAAGUUGGUUAUUUGUUUGCUUGAAUUCAUUUGUGUUGGUCUGCUUGAUUUUGCUUAGAAGAGAGAUUAGUUUACAGCUGUCUUGAGCCAGGCACUCUGCUGAGAUCCCUUAGGUGUUUAGUAUUGAUCUGGUAUGUAUGCAUUUGUGGCUACUGCAUAAUUUAAUUUGUAGUGCACAAAAACGUCUAUAAAAUAAUGUAACUGAUCUUUAACCAACAUACUAGUACUUUCCUACUCAGAUCACUGUUACUGCCUUCAAAUUAGUCAUCUUUUGAGACUAUUCUUUAUUCAUCCCACUAUAGUCACACUUCAGAGAUCUUUACAAGGUAAAUGUAUGAAGUAUAACUAGAGGAUAUGGUCAAGGAGAGGUAAAGGGGACAACAGGGUAGGAAGGUACAAAUUGGCUAUUAAUAUUUUGCUCCAUUCAUCAAUUAAUUACUGUGCAUGUCAUAGGGAUUUUAUCUCAUACUAAGAUAUUAAUUGUGAUUGGAAAAUUUGACUGUAUUUUUAAGUCUGGCUUAGAAAUAUCUGCCCUUGCAUUUCAGUAUCACAUUACUUUCCAUGGAGAAUGGAAACUACAUUAGAGAUAUGAGUAAUUGAAAAAAAAAUUAAAUUUAAUGUAGCAAUAGUAGGAAAAGCUACCUAAAUAUUGCAUAAUGGUUAUGAAUGUGUAGUUUCUUUGUCUUGUUCAGAUUGUUUAAAUGCAAUUUGAUUCCAUUCAUUCAUUGCUUUUAAAAUUCUAAUUUACUAUUCAUAACAAUUCACAUUUGUUAGCUCUGUUCCUAGACAUGUUCUCCCUAGCUGGAUAUCUUUACCUUUCUUAUAUAAGUAAGAUAUUGUAGUCUGAUAUAGUCAGACAGACCUUAACUUCCGUUUUCCUGCUUCUCAGUAACUGUGAUGCUAAAGUUAUUCUGUACUAUCUCUUUUACAUGAUGUAAAUAGUAUCUAUAUUACAAAAAUGGAUGAAAAUUAAUUGUGUAAAUGUAUUUAAGAGCACUUUACACAUUGGUACUACAUAAUAAAUAGUCAAAAAAUGCCUUUCCUUUUGUUGUUGGUUUGUGUAUGUUUUUAUAACAGUGUGUGCUAUGUUGCUUUACCCUUUUAGUUUGCCUAUAUUUAAUAUAGUGUCAUCCAUGAUUCUUUAGUAUAUGAUACUUAACAUAAUAAAUAGUAGAUACAGUUUAUUUACACUUAUCAAGUACAUGCAAAUUUAAUACAAUAUAUUGUGGAUACUUGUGAUGUUUAAGGAACAUACUUUCAAAAAUAUUAAUAGAAAUUAUUCUGACUACUAGCUUGGCCUGCCAUCUAGUUUCCAAGAAAAGGUCAAAAUAUACAUUUAGAUCCAAAGAAUUUAACCAGAUUUGCUAACCUCCUUGAGGGAAAAAAAAAAAUUGAACAAGAAAGGUUUGCUGUAGUCAUACAGUCUGCCUCUCUUCCUUUUCAGCUCCUUUGGGCAUCACAUUAGAUUGGUUCCCAACACAAUCAUGCCCUUAUAUUCCUGCUGAGUUUGACUGCAGUCCCAUACUUCAUUCUCAAGAAAUGUUGGCCAAAGGCACAUAUGCACAAAGGUAGACACAGAAAUUAUCAUGGGAGGCUGCAGCUGCAUAUGGCAAGUGAGGCCUACAGAAAAUGCGAAACAUAUAGAAUUUAUUAAAAGACAAGUCUCCACCUCCAGAAGUAUGAUGUGAAAUUCCAUUAUGAAAAUAAUUCCAGAUGGACAAAGACUUAAAAAUGAUCUUUUAAUGUAGGGGAAUUAUAGUCAUCCAUACAUCGAAAGAGAUGAGAUAUGCACAUGUAUGUACACUGUGACCAUAUGCUCAGGUUUCCUAUUACUUGCUAUAUUUAACAAGAACUGACUGUAAUUAUAGGUAUUUACUGUGUUUUAAAGUUUUUUCAAAGAAUAAGCAAAUUAUAUAUUAUACCACAAAUAAUAAAUAUUAGCGUGAAGUCUUCCAAUAUCUAAUUUUAAGUUUACUCUUAAGAAAUAAAAGUAGAUUGUAUGAGAAAUACAAGCAAAAUAAUUAAUCAUAAUGAUACUAUACAGAAUCUUGAAUCUAUCAAAAGCACUUUAAAAUAUGUCGGAUAUUUUGUCAACAGAAAAUCUUUAAUAGACACAGAAUAGACAGGCUUUUUUAUAGUUAUGAAAGAUUUAGGGUUAAUGAUUAAUUAAAAGUUAUUUGCUGGGAUAUUUAACCCGCACAAUUAAUAGCUGCACAUUAAAUUGAAAUAUUGUUCAUCUACUCUAAAUUUUUUAGACUAUACCGCAGUAAUUAUAAAAUUACUACACCCUUUUAAUUUAAGUCUUAUGAAGGAUCAUGGCAAAAAUAUAACUUGGGACUUCAAUCAUUUCCCCCCUCAAAAAAAAAAAAAAAAACCCGCAAAAGCUGCCCAGUUUGAGUUGGAAGUAAAAAGUUAGGAAUCUUAUUUACUAAUGAAUUUACUUUAAUCCCUCUUUUCUUCCCUCAGAUUUCUUCCUUUAGCCUUCUUCUCCUAUCCUUCAGUCCUGGGAAUUGGUGGACCCAGAGGUACAUCUGCAGCAUUAGAAGCUCUUUUUAAUUAUUAUGUUUUUUUGUUAGUACAUGUUUGCAAUACAUAAUGAUUACAUUCCUCAUGGGAGGUUGGUACACAUACAUAACACAUUGUAAGUCUUUUUUCAUUCCUUUCUCCUCCCCACCUUCCUCCCUCUGCCUUUUGGUCUCUUUCACUUUUGAGAAAAAUCUGUCUCCCUGCUUCCCAUUACCUGUUUUUUUAUUUUGCUCUUUGUUUAUAUUUUGGACUCCUCAUAUAAGAGAAACCAUAUGAUAUUUAAGCUGUGUGUGAUUUAUUUUAGUUAACAUUAUGAUCUCAAAGUGCAUCUACUUUGCUCAAGAUGGCUCAAGUUUUGUGCUGGCAUGCCAUUCCUAGAGUGAAAAGUGUAGCAUAAAUUCAGCAUUAUAUUUUUCAGAGUGAUAAUGCGUAAGCAUUGAAAUUUUUGCUGCUUUGUACCUUUAAUCCUUUAGCAAAGUUGUUUAGGGAAAAUAUACUUUUUUGUUAUUAUGUUUGAUUAUUGGCAUGGAUAAAUAUUCCAUUCAGGGACCACCUUAUAGUCCUGACUUACUAGUGAGUAGAUAUGACUUAUCUUCUAAAAGCUUGAGUUAUGCUGUGUUUAUUGGUGUUUUUCUCUGGACUAGUUAUGGUUUAGACCAAGAAUAACCCCAAAACUGUUGGUGCUCAGAGGUGAGCAUUUUGGACCAUUGUUGGAUCAUGGAGUGCUAUAUUCAUAGGUGGAUUCAUCCACUAAUGAGGUCAGUGGCUAAAAGGGCUGUUAGGAGAUGGGUUCUAGAAGGAUGUACAGUGUCUUCCUCCCCAGCUUCUCCCUUGUCUCUGUACUUCCUGACUACUAGUAUGUGAGCAGAUUCCUUCCAUGCUAGGUCCUUCCACCAUGCUGUUUUUGCUUUGAAUCUGACUAACCAUGGACUGAAAAUAUGAACCAAGAUAAACUUCUCCUUCAAGUUGCAGGUGUCAGGUAUUUUUGUCUGUGAUGAGGAAAUUAAGACAGGUUCAAACCAUAAAUGAAACUAUGUAAGGAAAGAAGGAUUUUUCAUCUUUUAAGUAUGCUUUCUAUGAAUAGAAAUUGGAGAGUAGUAACUAAUAGAAGCUUCUUUUCAGGGUAGGCUAAGUUGAAGUGGAGCAAGACUACAGGCAGAAAAUUAGUUAUACUGGAUUGUUGGUCGAUGAGGAUCCAGAUUACAGAAGAAGCAGUGAAAGGGACAAACUAAGGAGACUGAGGAGCUAUUUAGGAGAGAGAGUCAAUAAUGAGUUACUAAUUAAAUAUGAAAACUGAGACAAAGAGGAAUAGAGUUUAACUAUUCUAAUUUCCUAUGUAGAUCACAUGCAUUUAUAGUCUUUAGCUUCUAAAUUCUUUCGAAAAUGACCUAAGGAAUUCUGCCUUUCUGAGACAUUUACGUAAUUCAGACAGUCCUUCAACUCAUUAGGUAGUCCAGGCUAGCCCCUGAACUCAUAGCAGUCCUCCUAUCUCAGCCUCCCAAGGGUUAGGAUUACAGGGUCACACCAUCAUAGCUGACCAAGGUAUUUCUUUUUAAACAAAGUAUAUAUGGGGAAAAAAUGAUAAGCAGUAAGGCAUGCACCACGAUGCCUAGCUAGGGGCUUUAAAAAAAAAAAAAAAUAUAUAUAUAUAUAUAUAUAUAUGAAAGAAAGAUAAGCAAGGUUAAGAACUACACAAAUAAAAAAAUGCAGAAAAUAUAAACUCCAAAUAACUGAUAAAUGAAGCCUGGUUAUAUUAUAUAAUACAUGAUUCAGCAGUGAGAACAUGGACAUAGUGAUAUUAAGUAUCUUCAAUUUAUUUAUUCUCCUUGCCACAUUGAAAUGUGGACAAGGAUGUUCUUUUUACUCAUAUUUUAUUCUGUUAUUUUAAAUGCAAUAAUAUUAUUCAGAUUUACCUGAAUUUCAACAAUCCUUUAAUAGUUUAUUUCUCAAUGUUAUUGACUCUCUUUAAAUUCAUACUAUUUAAACAAAGGAAGAAAUCUUGAGGGACACUUGUAUUAACAUAAAAUGAAUGUCCUCAUCCAGGAAAGCACAUCCAGCAAUUCUUUAAUUAUAGCCAUAAAUCUCCCAAUAGCGUACUGACUCCGGGGAAGGUAGGAAUGUAUAUGGAGAGUUUGAAUUUCACAUCCUAACGCCCUAAGGAAGAGAUCUUCAAGACACAAAGCAUCCUGAUGAUCUUCCAUAUCAUGUGCCACAUUGCCUUCAAACACAGGAGACUGCCAGGAAUGAAAGAGAGAAAAAGAAAAUGCCAGGAUUCAAUACAAAAUGACCCAAACAGUUUUGUUAUUAAAUAACAUACAACUUUUCCCACACAGAAUAGUAAGAGGGGUUAAAAUGAUGAAAGUAACAGAUUUUUAGUGAGGAUAUUAACCCAAAGAUUCCUGAGUAGUUGCUGUGGACAGCUCUGUUUCAUAUUCACAUUUUCAUAGUUCAGACAGAUAUCUGAUCCCUGGCAAGCAAAGAAGAAAGAAUUUGAAAGGAACAAACCAAAUCAUUUAUAGUGGCUAUAAUCUACCAUUUUAUUUGAAGGCAACAUUUGUAGAGGUAUGAAAGUGAGGGAGGAAGUGAGGCCAGUAGAACAACAGUGAAACUCAUAUAUUUGUAUCCAUAAAAACAGCCUAUGAAGGUGUGAGAAAAUAAGUUGCUACAGAAUAAUGCAGUCAUUUCUUGAAAAAUUAUACAUCCUAAGCAAUCAAAGAAAAAAGAUAUGGCUUGCAGACAUUAAAAGCAAGACACUUAUUGAGAGGAAAAAAAUCAGGUCAGAUUUAUGCUUCCCCACAGCAAAACUGAAAUGCCUGUUUAUAAGACGGUGAAGGUAAAAAUAAAUACAACCCCCAAAUUGAAUAUUUAGACAUACAACUCCAUGACCAUAAAUGUAACGGUCUUUAUCAAGCAUGUCAAAACUUAGGCAAUACCUGAUGGGUCAUCCUUAAAAAAAAUGUCUUUAAAAGAUGUCAUCUGGCUGUUCAAAAUAAAACCUUUACCACAGCAGCAGUCCUACAGCAGCAUUUUCCGAACUACGUAGUGUGAUGUGGUUUAUGUCCCAAUCAAUGGUGGCAAUGACCUAAGAUUCUGAAGCCUGUCCAUCCCAGGAAAAAUUCCUUAAAGAGACUCUUGUCUCCCAAGAUGACUGGGUGUCAGAUUCUUAAGUCAUUCCUGGUGGAACUGAGAUAAGUUAGUUCAUUAGGUAAGAUUGUGACACAUGCACAUCCCUAGCUAGCUUGGAGGAGUUAGGGAACUUUUGAUGGCAGUGUACAAACUGCAUUACAGAAAAAGGAGAAUUGAGGAUUUGUUACCAGAAAGUGGAAAUGGAUGCCAGGCAGAUAAAACCAGGGUCUCACAUUUUCACCUCAUUUUAAACUUGCAAUAAAAUAAUCUUCUUUUCCACUCAGUAUGUACUCAAGGAAUUAGCUGAUUUAUUUUCUUUAUCAGAUCUGUUCCUUCAUUCCUUUCAAAGUAAUUACAGGCUUCUUCUUUCCUGUCUCAUGACACUGAUUAUUAGCUAAGGCUAAUUCAUCAGCUGGAUAUAGGUGAAACACCUUUAGCUAUCUUUCAGGAAAAGCUUAGUAAAUUAUUAGUCAUUCUCCAAUCCAAGAAAUGUUCUUUCCAUAAGUAAAAGUUUAUUAGAUACCGUGAGAGGUCUUCAAGUUCAACCAUUUUCUGUUCCAGCUAUAAUUAGAAACUAGACAAAUUGUAUCAACUCCUAGGAAAAAAAUCUACACACAUACUCUUUAAUAAAUCCAAUUUACUCUAUUUGCUUGGUAUUAACAACGGUUAAUAUAAUGUUCAAAUUCCCUUCCUUCUUUGUUGAAAAGAACUGCAUCAGGGCAGCCAGUACACACAAAUGGAUAGUUAAUUACUCGGCACAGAGGCCUAUGUGAUUCAUCACUGCAAUGUGGAAAUGAAUGUUGCCAAUUGUCAGCAUUUUCCGAACUACGUAGUGUGAUGUGGUUUAUGUCCCAAUCAAUGGUGGGCAAUGCUCCAGAAAGAAAAUACUACCUAGGUUUCAGGGAUUCAUUAGACUGAUCAGUCUUUCAUCAGUAAUUUCAAAGUGGAUAUGUAUCAAAAUCACUUGGUGACAAAAAAGAAAGAAAAAAGGAAACAAGAAAAGUACAAGAAAAAGAACACACAUCUUUACCCAAACCACUGGGUCAGAAAGUCCUGGUGUAGGUCAGGGAUAGACUUGUAGUUUUGGAGACAUGAAAUUUAUAGAAUUUAUAAUAUUUCUUUAAGAAAAGGAAUACCAGUGUGUAUUGGUUUUUCAGAUUUUAUAGAAGAAUUACCAUGUGAACACAUUUCUAGGACCUAGGUCAUAAUAUAAAGUCCCAUGUAAGUGACAAAUACUAAAGCUCAGUCUUCAUUAUCUUCAAUAAUGUGGGUCAGAGCUUACAGAUAAAUAUAUGCUUGUAUGUCUGUGUUAUUGCUUAUAUCUAGAUGUCUCACCCAAAGCCUCAUAUACUUAUAGGUAGAGCUUUUGGGAAGUAAAUCUGUGGGAUAAAGCAUUGAGAUAAAUGCAUGCUUAUAUCUAGAUGAAACUCCAAAGCCUCAUGCACUUAUUAUAGUUGAGUCUUUUGGGAUGUGACUGGAUCUAGGGUAUGUUAGUAUGGCUUAAUGGUGUAUGAUAACUCAGUUAGUUCACUGAGUGGUUCAGCAUAGUUCUGAGUGUGGAUAAUGGGAGGCACCCCCCCCAUGUGGGUGGUACUGAACAGAAUAAAGGAAAAAAGUAGGCUCACCACUUGCUGCUUUUUGCUUGCCCUCCAUGGACUGUUCCUCUUCUGCCAUACCCCACUAUCAUACUUCCCUGUCUUGGAGUCAGUUGGCUAUGAACUGCAACCUCUACAAAUUAUGAGCUAAAAUAAACCUUUCUUUUUUUUUUUUUUAAUUUUAGAAAUAACAACAACAAAAAUGAUGAUACAGAAUUUCAAGACAAAAUAAUAGAAAACUAACACUAAUUAAUAUAUUGAAUAUUGUUAUCUUCAAAGUAAUUGUUCAGAUUACGAGAUUUAGGCCUGAAAAAAUGAUCAAACAAUCAAAACAGUGAAAGCACAAACUGUUGUUUUUGAUGAACUAGCAAAGAAUAGUAGUAUAGUUAUCUAUCUUGUAUACAUAUGUGUAUAAUGUUUUCCCUUCUUUCUUGUCUCCUUUCCUCUGUCCCAGUCAUUCAUUCCUUUCGAGCACUUUUUUUCUCUUUCAUUCUCACAAUAUUGUUCCAGCAACAAGAAAAUAACUAACACAUUCUGUGUAUGUGUAUGUGUAUGUGUAUGUGUAUGUGUAUGUGUGUGUGUGUAUGUGUGAACACUGCUCUAUGUGCAUGAUUUAAGCUCCCAAGUGAGACGAUCCAGAACUGGGACUCUCACUUAUGUAGCAUCUGUGCUGCUUAUUCUCUGCACCUCAAUCUUCCUUUCAUUUUCUUUCCUUCUUUACUUCCUCUUUUACUCUAUUUCCUGUUCUUCCUCACAUGCAUACAUGCACACACAUACACACAAGCACACACCCUAAUUUUAAAAAUUAAGCCCUAGCUCCACUGAUAAUACUUAUAAGCCUCACUGCUGGAUUUGGGGUUUCAAAUAAUUGCUGAACUUUCUGAUAGAUAGACAGUAUUAAUUGGUAAACUGGUAGUUGACAGAGUGGACAUAAAAAAUUUUUUUAAAUUUUUAAAUAACAUAGAAAUUUUGUGUUAUCUACAAUUUAAUCCAGUUCUCUGAUAAGCCAUACAAAUUCAAAUUUAAAUGCUUUGAACUUCAUAUUUUUUUCUUUUACCUUUGUUGUGGCAAAAGUGCCCGUAGGCACUUUUAAGCCAAACUACAUUCCAGAUAACAGCCCCUGAAUUACAGCUACUCUGAUUAUACUUAGAAAUAAUUGAGCUAUAUUUUUGUGCUUGGUUUUAGUUUUUAAAUAACUUUAUAUUUUUUUAAGUUCAUUUACAUGGUUGAAGUGCUGAAUAUUAGUGCCAAUAAAUGGAGCCUUAAGGAGCACUGGAUUAGAAAAAAACUUACUGAAAGACAUGUCUUUGUUGUACUUUGAUAAAAUUAAGUGAUCUGCUUAGUCACAGUUUCCUAAAAACUGCUUUUUAGUUUGUGAAAAAAUAUGCCUAGUAUUGAAAAAUUGAUGUAUUGCCUAUAAUCUCCUUAAACAUGAUUACAGUCAUUAUGAAUGACAUACUGAAAUUACUCAAAAAGUAUCUUGUAGCAUACAAGAAUGAAUGUAGACUCUAGAGAAUAAACAAGAUCUCUUCUUUAGUUUCAUCUAAAUGCUUAUAAUUGAAAUACUUAACAUUUAUAUAUUUAAAUGAAUAUAACAUAUUAAAUGCAAAAAAAAGCCUCUGUGCUACACAAUGAUGAUACAAAGAUGAAUAAGGGUGGUCUUUGUCCCUCUCUGUGAAGUUUAUAUCAGUAGAAGAAACAAGUAUAUUGUUUCUGAUACAAGGACACUCAGAUGCACAAGAAUACAAAACAGCAACAGGUAGGAUCACACACUAGAAAUUUCUUUUAAAUCUAAAUGGUAGAAAAAAUUUUUUUAUAUUCCUAAUACCUCUCUUUUUCUUAUUCCACAUCCGAUCCAUCAGCAAAUGCUGUUGCUUCUGCUUUUACACUCUAUUCAGAGUUCAGUCCAUUUUUCUCUAUCUCAGUCACUGGUCCUGGUUCAAUCCACUAUCACUUCUUAGUUUGGUAGUUACAAUGGCCUUCUUAUUAGUUUCUCUGCUUCGUUACUUAUUCUUUUACAUUCUACUCUAUCCAAACCCUGAGUAGUUCUUUGAAAAUUUCAGUUCAAUUGUAUCAUAUGCUAGAGUUGUCCAUGUAAAAUACCUUCCCUUAGAUAUCUAUAUGGCUUCCUCACCUGUCCCUCAAGGUUUUUAGUCAAAUGUGCCUUUCUUUGUGAGGUGUUCCUUGGUCACCCUAUUAAAAUUCCAAUCCUAGCCCUGUUCUCUGCUUGUUUUUCUCCAAAAUAUUAUUGCCAUCUGACAAAUUAUACAUUCUACUUCUUUGUAUCUAAAAUAUAAGCUCUAUAAAGGUAGUCAAGGCUAGACCUCUUUAGUAGGUAGUCAAUAUUUAUUGAGUAAAAAACAAAAACAAAGAAUGUAUUCAAACUGUUGUUAUCCCCACAGGCUCUUCCCAGUUUCUCUGGUUUUCAUUGCUUCUAUAUCAGGGUAUUUUUACAAAGUCCGUUAGUCACCCUGGCAACGUGUAUUUUUCACCUACUUUUGUGUCUAAGUCAUGGUCAGUGAAAUCACAUCCUGCUCUGCAGCAUAUAUGAUCAGAUAAAUUUUUCUGUCUAACAUCAGCUUGAAACUGAUAUUCUAUAUUUAGAGUGGUCUGGAAAAAUCAGCCUAGAAAGGUAGACAAGGCAGAUCUAUGACAAAGACAUGAAUGUACUUUCCCAUACCUGUAAACUUAACAUAUUUAAACCCAGAAAUCAUAUUUCAGAAAGAAAAGAAAUCUAAUAAUGUCAGGAUUUUGAAAAGGAUGCAUAAUUCUUUGCUAAGUAAUAUAUGUGUUUAUGCAGGCUGAAAUAAAAAAGAAUCAUUGAACCAGGGACUUUAGGUUCUCUGCUAAUGUUAAAGUAGUGAAACUUUCUUUCUUCCUCAUCUUGAAUUCCAAAUUUAAUAAGAGAAUUGUCAGGAGAACUCAACAUUCCUCUCAAAGGGCUAGCAAUCACCAAACACCGCACCACUCAAAACCAGAGCACCACUCAAACCAGAUUCCUGUAAAUGCAGGUUAAUUCUAAAUACACCCCUUGUUUAUUACAUUUUUGGAGGUCACAUAUAUGGAAAUAACUUCUACAUACCCAAUCAGAUAUGUAUCUUUCUGCUUGUAAAAUAAAAAAUAAAUAGAGGAUUAAGGAUUAUCCUUGUCAUGAUGCAUUAAAUGACCUUUUAAAAAAAGUUCUGCACUUGAACUUAUUUUUUCACAAGUUGUUUAUCUCAAAGGAAGGAAAACAGAUGCAGCCUAUAAAUAAUGCUUGCAUUUCUGCUUCAGGGUGUGAAGGGCAGGAGAGACUUUCCCCAGAAAGGUCAAGGGCCACAGCCAGCUUUCUCUCUUUGUGAAUCAGACAAUAUUUCUGUGGUGCUAGUCUGAACUCAUUAAGCAGAGCUAUGUAAAAUGAAUGACCCAGCAAGCAGCAUCUCAAAAAUUCUGGCACAAUUCAGAGUUUUCAGUCUUUAAUAUUAUCCAUCACUGUUAGGAACUCAUUUGUGUUGUAUGUAUUUUUCACUUGAUUUUUCAGAGUUUUGAAGUUUCUUAAAUCAAACUCCAUAGUCUUUGAAAUUUUCACAAAUAACUGAGGAUUUGAAAAGUUUGCUACACUUUUAUUCUCUUUCCUGAAUUUUAUUUUCCUGUUUUAAGUGUUAUGUUUCUCAGGAUAGAAUGCUUAUUUUAUGGAUAUUUUCCUUUAAAUUGCAUGGAAAAUUAUCUGGCUUUUUCUUUUUUUAUUUUAAAAAUAGUAAAAUACAACAGAACAAGACAAAACAAAGCCAAUGAAGAAAAUGCAGUGAAAUUGGUACAGAAGUUCAGAGCAGGAUACUAAGAUAACAAUAAUAGCUACCAUGGUAUAUCCUAUUAUCUUCACAAUAGUUGUUCAUUCAAGCAGGUAUAGCAAAAUCGAACUAAAACCAGAACACUAGAAAAACCAAUCAAAACAUAAUAUUGAAUAGAGCAACACAAUUAAUCAGAACAAAGCAAAAUAGUGAAAACAAUAUUGGCCUUCAAAGACAAAAUAGAAGGAAAUCCCAUAUUUGCUUUAUUGUAUACUGUCAUCCUUCCAAAGGAUGCUCAGACCUCUGGUGAGCAUAAUCAACCAAACAAUACAAGAAUUUAGUUGCUUUAUGUACCUUAGUUGCUGUCAACUCCAGCUGACCUUAAAACCAUCCAGUUGCGAAGAGGAAGAUAGGUAGAGGGGAAACGCAAGACAUUUGAUUCUCAGCCCACGCGCAGGUAGGCUCACGGGAGACACUGACUUAUUCUCUCCCUGGCUUGCCCAUGGCUCACCCUGCUUGCCAGGAAGUCUGGCUCGUUGCUUUCUUGGUUGGUCCCCCAAGUUGCAGCAUGGCUGAUUCUCAGGAGAUACUAUCUGUUUUGUUAAAAGCUGUUGUAGUCUAGUAAUCAAAACUUAUCUGUAAGCCUUGGUUUCUUCAUUCAUUUGAUAUCUACUGGUACUUCCAAGGAAAUAGACUUCCAAGGAAGUAUGAUACCUUGGAAAAAUUCACCGUGUCCCUCUAAGGAAAUGAAAAUUAAAACCCAAUUCACACCCAUAAAACUGCCUGUAAUUAUACAUACACAUUACCGUGCACUAGAAAACAAUAUAGAGAAACUAGAACCCUCAGGAGUUAGUGGGAAUAUAAAAUGAUGUGGUUAUUUUGACAGUUAAACACACUUAACACAUGAUUAAGAAAUUCCAUUCUAUGUAUUUACCUAAGGAAAUGAAAACAUCCACAUCAUGUAUGCUAGUUUUCACAACAGCAUUGUUAUUGUAACUCCAAAGGAAAAACCACUGAGAUGCCCAUGAGUAGAAUGGAAUGCUACAAAGCCUUGAAAAUGAACUGGACACUAGUAGCACACACAGUAGAAGUGUAUCUCACAAACAUAAGAACUAAAAAUGCCGAAGAUUGUUUGGUGUUUGACUCUAUUUAUAUAAAUUAAACAACAGAAAUGGUAAUCUGUAUGAUCAGAAGUCAGGAUAAUAGUUAUCCUUAUUCUGGGAAUAGUAGUAGUCACUACAGUGGGGACAUCAGAAGUACUGGGCAUGCUGUUUUUCUCAAUACAGAUACUGUUACACAGCUGUGUUAGCUACAUUAAAAGUCAUCAUUGUACCACAAAGAUAUGUGCAACCUUUUACAUGUAUUCUAUACUUCCAGAAGUUUUAUUAAGCCUGAAAAGUUGGCAAUGCUUGAUUUUCAAAGAUUUGGCGAUCCAAGAUAACAUGCAUCCACAUUCACUACUCUAGAUUUUACAAUUUAGAAAGGAAGACAGACAUAUUGAUAAGCAAUUCAAAGAUGAAACAAACUGUAAGUGUUUCAUUGGAAGAUUACUGUAGUAAAGGAGAAUAUUUCUAAACAAAACACCGAGGAAAAAUAUUUUAGAGGGUGGUCAGUUUCUGAUUUCAUAAUAGCAAGAAGACUCUAAUAUUACCAAAUUUAGUAAUAUAGCAAGAUACAAUACUGACACAAAAAAGAUCAAUAGCAUUCCUAUGUACUAAUAACCCACUGAGAAAAAAAUUAAGGAAAAUUACCAUUCACACUAGCACCAAGGAAAUUUAAAUACUUUGGAACUAGCCUAAUUAAGUGAAAGUCUGCUAAAACAAAAAUUACAAUAUUCUGAAAAAGAAAAUUGAAGAAGACAUCAGGAAAUGGAAAGAUACGCUCCCUUCUAGAUAAGCAGAACCAAUAUAGACAAAAUGGCCACAUUUCCAAAAUUGAUAUACAGAUUUAACAUUAUCCCAAUAAAAAUUCCAACUACAUUCUUCACAGAACUAGAAAAAAGAAUCCUAAAAUUUAUAUAGAACCAGAAGAGACACACACUAGCAAAAGCAGUCCUGUGUAAAAAGAACAAAAGAGUAAGCAUCAGGAUCUGGGAUUGGAAGUUAUAUUACAAAGCCACUGUGAGUACUGCAAUGAAAACAGUCCUGAAGAUCAGUGGUAUAGGAUAGAGAAUGCAGAAGCAACCUCAAGUACAUUCAACUAUUUCAUUUUUGACAAAGGGGCAAAAAAAUACACAGUGAAGGAAAGAUUACCUCUUUAAUGAAUGGUAUUGGGAAAAAUGACUAUCUACAUGCAGAAGAUUAUAUCUAGACCCAUGUCUCAUACCAUGCACUAAACUAAAAUCAACAUGGAUCAAAGAACUAGAUAUUAAAAGAAACAUGAACACAAGAUAGGUAAAAUUUUUGAAGUCAUAGGCUUAAGCAAGGACUUUCAGAACAGAAAUCCAGUUGUACAGGAAAUAGUUCUGAAAGUCAACAAAUAGGAUGACAUCGUAUAUUCUGUACAGCAAAAGAAACAACCAACAGAGUGAAAAGGCAACGUACAGAAUUGGGGAAGAAUAUUUGGCAGCAGGUCCUCAGACAGAGACUCAUUUCUAGAAUAUGAAUAUAACAAAAAAAUUAGACCUCUCCAAAAUAAAAGAAAGAUCCAGUCAAAAAUAGGGAAGCAAAAUAGAUAUAAGUGAAGAAGUAAAAGUGGGAAAUAAAUACAUGAAGAAAUGCUCAACAUCUCUGGGGGGGGGGUCAUUACAGAAAUGCAAAUUAAAACAACACUGAGAUUCCAUUUUAUCCCAGAAAAAAUGGCCAUCAUCAUUAAAUCAAUAAUAGCAAAUUCUGGAGAGACUGCAGGAAUAAAGAACUCUUCCAUACUGCUGUUGAGAAUGUAAACUAUGGAAAUCAGUGUGGAGAUCCCUCAAAAACUAAAACUAAAAUUACACUUAACCCAACUAUUCCCUCCUGAGUAUCUUACUAAAAAAGUUGAAGACAUUAUAAUGCAGAGACACAUGCAUACUCAUGUUUAAAGCAGCACAGUUCAUAAUAGCUAAAUCUUGAGAGUGGCCCACACAUCCAUAAACAGGUGAAUGAAUAGAGAAGAUGUGGUUAUUUACACAUAAUGGAGUACUACUUUGCUGUUAAGAAAAAUAAAUUUGAAUCAUUUGUAGGAAAUUGGAAGUACCUCGAGACCAUAAUGUUAAGCAAAAUAAGUCAGACACACAAGCUUAAAUAUCAUAUAGUUCCUCUUAUCUGAGAAAGCUAAAGUAAAAAUGCAGGGCAAAAUAAAGAAUAGUAAAAACGAGGGAGACAAAUUGUUCUCAAAGCAGGAGGGAAUCAAGAGAUGGAGGAGGAGGAAAAGGAUAACAUGAAUAAAAAGAACUGAGAUAUAUCUUUUCUAUAAAUUGUACCAAAACAUCUACUUCCGUUUUUUUUUUCAAUUCCUUUAAAGAAAUUUGGUGGCCUCCCAAAAAACUGGAAAGAGAAAAAAUAAAGUAGAAAAGGUAAACAGAUGAGAAAAUGCUAGAUCAUAAACAAGUAACUACUAUUUGAGAGGCCAAGUUGUUCUAAAGUAUCAGAACACAUAGGCUACUUAGUCUUUAAAAGUGAGCUCUUUUGUUUUUAGCUGAUUAACUUUGCCCCACUUGUAGGUCAUUCUGUUCCAGUGAUUCUCAGCCCUCUGUUGCACAUCAGGAUCCCAGAAGCAUUUAUAUCUUUUGCUGAAUCAGAAUCUUGGGGUGGAGGAGGGAUGGUGCUUGGGCAUCUGUCCUUGGCAGGGAAGCCUGUGACUCUCCUGAACAGACAGGGUGAGCUGUAAUCCCUGUGGGCUGCAGGGAGCCUUCCCAGGGACCAUCAACACAACAACAAAUAUCUCUGCAAGUAUUAUUUCUUUGUUUUUUAGAGGUUCUGUGACUUCUACAAAGAAGAACACUUUUUAUACUUAUCUCUUUGUAACUAUGCCAGAAAACUUAUUUGCAAGUGUCUUUCAUCCAAGUGUUACAUGAAAGAUGUUAGUCCUGCUGUUAAAUUUUAGCCCUAAUUCUUUCAAUCACCACAGCAUUUCUUCUGAUUGUUUUAUAAAUACCUAGAUCCAAAGCAGAAGAUAGAACUAGAAAGGACAAACUAGCACAUGUAGGUUACCUGUUAAUGCGCUUGUAUGACCUAUCUUCCUCCAAAAGAAAAA